AAACUGUUCCAAACAACAAUUUCCCCAUUCCCAACUUUCUAUAACUCUCUCUGAAGUAAAGACUUUCAAAAUAAAAUCCUGGCUUGUCAUUGAAACAUGAAUAAUUCGCGUAAAAGAAAGCAUAUCCUGCAAUGUAAGCAUCACUCUUAUCAUCAUAUUUGGAUCGGAAUUCCUCAACUUCUCCCUCUACGACUGGGAAUUUAAGGUCAAACGUUGUAAGGACAGGCUUGAACCCUUCGUCAGUAGUAUUUUUAGGUUCGUCAAAAGGGGUUGGAGAGACUUCAAGUAGAAGUACUGAUGGACCGUAGAAAAGUGGAAGAGGGUUUUCCUUAAAGAGCAAAUUGGCUAAGGAAGACUCAGUAGCUUUGUAUAAAUGAGUAUAGUUAUGGUAUACAUGGAUUUGGUAAAACAAUUUGUAUAUAUGAGAAAGAUCAGAUUUUGUAGCAAGACGGACUCGUGUGUAUAUCUUUCCAGUGAUGGUAACGUCCGAUGAUGCAUCGCUGGUUAUUGAUUGUUGAAGAGCAGGAGCCAUGAGAAAGUGUUUAGUUAAAUUUGAGAGGAUUGAAAUUUAAGAUAAAAGAAAUGUUGAAAGGUUUAGUAAUGGGAUAAUAUUGUGUGUGUUUGGGAUAAUAAUAGUAAUUAUUUAUAGUGGAGAUUUUUUUAAAAAAAUAAAUAAUUAUUUGGUUAGUGAGGUUCAUGGAAAUAGGUUCCAAUGAAAAAAAAAAAGUUGGUGGAGACAAGUGUGCGUUCUAUAUCUAUUGACUGGGUCGGCUGAAGGGUCAAAUCAUUGAUGCCUUUAGUCUCAAAUUUUGUUUUUUUUUCUUAUAGAAAAAAAUAGUAGCUAGGAUAAUAUUUUUUGAGUUACCCAUCAAAAUUUGGCCACCAUUAAUUUUUUAAUGUAAUUAUGAUUAACUACUUUUUAAUAAUAAUUGUAAUAAUAAUAAAAUGGAUGGAACAAUAAUCAUGUGUAAAUAUUGUACUGCUGGAGUUUAAACUUUGACAAGUGGAACUUAAAAAAUAAUUUACUCAAAUAAACUUUCACCAUUUAAGCUUAAAAAUUGAAUAAAAUUUUAAUGAUUCGAGGAAUUCAAAUUUUAAUCAAUAAUAAUUCAUGAAAUUUCAAAUGAUAAAUAUUUCCCAAUUUUUUUGAAGCUUCAAUAAAUUGUACUUACCCUUUUUAGCCACCUAAUAUUUGUCAUCAUUAUUUCUUUAAAGACAAAAAUUUGUUCCUUCUAUACCAUGAAACAAAAGAAAAAAUUAGAGAAAAAAAGAGGGUUUUUUAACCAAACUAAGCCAUCAUAUAAACUCAUUCAUCAAAAUAAUAUGUUUUUCUAAAAUUUUACAAAGUAGUAUAAAUGUAUUCCACAGUAACGUUUUAGGAUAUAUUUUAUUUUUAAAAAGUUAAUGGCGUCAGAUUGAUAUACGUUACUUUACUCACAGUGACGUUUUACUUUUAAAACGUUACUCACAGUAAUGUUUUAGGAGUAAAACGUUACAGAAAAUAACGUUUUAAAAGUAAAAUGUUACUUACAAUAACGUAUAUCAACUUAAUGUUGUUAGUUUUAAAAAAAUAAAAUAUACCCUAAAACGUUACCGUUAAAUACGUUUAUACUAGUUUUGUAAAAUUUUAGAAAAAUAUAUUAUUUUGAUAAAUUAUUUUAUAUAAUAACUUAGUUUGGUUAAAAAUUAAAAAAACGAGUGGGAGUACACGGUGCAAUAGAUGGGUUAGCUUGGACCAUGCAAAAAAAAAAAAUCAUUAAAAUGUUAGCAAUAUUGUACGAAUAAACUGACUAUUCUUUUAACAUAAUAAAAAUAAAUAAAGAUUUUGACUUUGUAUGAAGGUAGACUUUCACCAUCCUUACACUACCAUGUUUCAAUGAAUUAAUUUAACUUCACACAACUUAAAGAAAAUAAUAAACUUUUUUGAUCUUCUAAUUCUAAAUUAAUAUAAUGUUAAAUGUAUCGCAAUGUUCUUUAAUUUUAUAGCCUUAAAUAUUCUACAUGAAAAAUUAAAAUUAAAAUAUUAUCAAAAAUAAAAAAAAAUUAUUCUUUUUUUUUAGAGGAAGCAAUAAAUAACAAUAUCGUUGUCGACGAUUUCAGCAAUAUGGAUGAAUAUUCUAUGGAUCACACAAAUGAUGUGUAUAAGUCAAGUGAAGUCGUCAACAUUGACAAUGAGUAAUGUUUACCAAGAUGCAUGAAAUUUCAACAAGGAUAAUAUAUAAGAAUCCAUAUAUAUUCACAUUGAAAAUGAACAUGCUUUAGAGAAAAUUAUUUUUCAUCUUAAAUGAACAUAUUUAUGAAUUUUCCAGGCACAUAUGUUUGCGAAAAUAGCUAGUCAAUCACGCAAAUGUGUUGAACAUUUAAGACAACGACAAUUUAGUGGGUGUGUUAAUUGAACAUAUAACAAGUUAAAAAAUUAUAUCAUAAUUUACAAAUUAAUUUUUUAUUAUUUAUUUCGAUAAUAAAGAACAAACUUUUUACAACUAUUUCAUCAUAUUCGUUUUUUUUUAUCGAUAAUUUUCAAUAUUUUUAAAAACACAUGUAAGAGUUACAAGUAGGGGUGUACAUGAUGUGGUUGGUUCAAGUUUUCCAAAUAUCGAACCAAACCAUUUGUGUUGGAUUGUUGAAUUUAUAAACCAAAUCAAACCAACAAAAAUUGAUUUUUUCAACUUUGGGAUUUUUUAAGGUUUUUUUGGAUUUUUGGGUUUAAAGUAUUCGUACAGACAUAUAAUUUACUUGUAUUUCAAAUUUUUCGUUAGACCAACCAAAAUUCAACUAUCUAAGUUAUUUUUCAAGAAAAUAACAAAAAAUAAGAUAUGAUUAAUGACACUAAAAUAUCCAACAAAAUAAUAAUAAUAAUAUCGCGUAAAACAAAUAUUGCAAAUUAAUAAGUCAUAAUGAAAUUGAUCAUAACUUAAAGUACUAAAUCAUGCUAAAAUAAGUUUAGUAAGUAUUAGUUACAUGACUAAAUAUUAAAAGAAAGUAAAAUUAGAUCAUGUAUUUUAAUUGUCUAAAUAUAUGUAAAACUAAAAAAUAAAUAUUCAAUAAUCAUUGUUAGUGUUGAAUUGAUUUUUUUUUUGUAUUAGUAUUAAUUUAUUUUUUAUUUAAACUUUAUUAUAAUUACCAACAUGUAUGGACUAUAAUCCUUAUUAGAUCAUUAAGAAUGCUAACUUCCAAAUAUGAAAUAAUAUAUUAAAAGAUAAAAACCAUGAAAAAGUAUAAAAGAUAUUUAAAAAUUGUAUCAAAGUAAGUAUUUUUAUGUAUAAAAUAAAAUUCUAAAAUUAUAUAGAUAAUGUCGGGUUGAUUUGUUCUCGGGUUGAGUUUUUUUAGUUGACACCAAAUCAAUUCAAAUAUAGUCGAAUUUUUUUCCAACACUAAACCAAGUCAAACCAAACUACUGAUCGAAUUUUUUUCAAUUUACGAUUUGAUUCGAUUUUGUACACACUUAAUAAAAGUUAGAUCAUCAUAUUUGUAUAACACAUACAUUUUUGUAGUUUUUGUACUAGUUAAAAGAUAAAGAAUUAGUUGAACGCGAAAGAUGAUACUGAUAGUAAUACAUCCGUAAAUAAAAGAAAAAAUAUAUCUAUAUUAUCUUAUAACUUGCUUCUAUAACUCGUUGAUAGCUUACUACCAUUCAAGAUGAACUUUUGACUUGUAGUUGAUUUAUCCCCCUAAGCCCGAAAUGAAAACUUUAGAAUAAUAAUAUAUCAUUAGACUAUCCUAUAGUUUUAUUUAUCUCUGGAGAACUUAUUUAGCAUAAAUCCUAUUAGAGAUAUCAAAAUAAAUAUUGGAUACUAGGAUGAUAUAGUUUUAAUAAGACAGAAUAUAUGGAGUCCCCUUAAACUUGUACCUUUUAUAUAUACAUAUAUAUUAAUAAAUCAUGGCCUAGCUGUGUUGUAUUUCAUAAAAAAAGGUGGAACAUGAGGGGAAUCGAAGUUUAUCUUCAAAAUUAAAUUUGUACUUGUUUUCUAAAUAUUGCAAAGGAAUAAACAUAUAUCUCUCCUAAUAAGUAAAGUCCAAAAAUUAGUAAAUCCUACCCCAGAAACAAAUGAAAUACAACUAUCUCCUUUUCACUUUCGAGCUUCCCGAUUUGUCUUUUUUAAUACUGGACGCAAGUGAUAAUUUAUUUAAAUUUAAAGGAGGACGAGAGCUAAAAGAAAAGUUGACAUAAACUAACGGGGUAUUCGUUGUUAUUUAUUUUAGGUGAAUGGGUAUUUAUUGAAUUAGCUUGGAUUAAGCUAUGAAAUUAUAAUUAAUUCAUAUUUUAUGGUAGUUUCCCCCAAAUUCUAAGCGUCUCUAUUGACCAUUUCCCCCCCUUUUAAUUAUUUUCACGUUAGCAGACAAGGAAGGCAUGCAUGCAAAUAGAAUGUAGUAUUAUUUUACCCUAGACCAAAUUAAAGUGGUUAAAGAGAGUAGGCGUUAAGCCAUCUAAUUUAUUUGAAAUUCGCUUGCAACGGUAAUAAUGAUCUGAUUUUCAAAAAGUCGUUAUUUUUUGUUUUUCAAACACUGAAAAAAUUUUCCUUCGCACUGUAAGCAUUUUCUCUCAAAAACAAAAAGUGUCGAUCGGAUGAGUCUGUAUGUGACUUGUUAUGUUCGCUGAAGUUAUUGAAGUUUGAGGUAUCACUACUUCUUUAACAGGUUAAUCUGUUUUAUCUUAGAAAAAAUUAAUAAAAAAGGUGAAACAUAAGGGGAAUCAAAUUUUAUCUUCAAGAUUAAAUUUGUACUUGUUUUCUAAAUUGCAAGGAUUCUAUUACUGUAGAAUAUUAUUUAAAUUCACAAUAAAUACAUUAUUGAGUAUUAUUAAGAUUUCUUAUUUAAAAAUUAAUCAUUAAUUAUUUUACAAUUGGAAAGCUAAACAAAGUUGCUACAUAUCUCUAAACCGAUAUGGCGACUUUUAAGGGACUGCACCAGUUGGACUAAUUCCAAAGACCCAAAAUUAUACCAUUGAACACACUUUCCUUUUUUAAACAUAAUUCCAAACAUUUGGGAAGAAGAUGAUGUUUGGCUCAAAAAAAUUGUAAUAUUUUUAGUUAUGCAAAAACUAAUUUUAUUAAAAUCAAAUAUAAGCUAUCAGGGCAUCUUCAACCCAAAUUUAGUGUCAAUAUCAAAUUUAAUGUAAUCAACUUCAAGUCAUUGCAUGAAAUUUUACGCCAACAAUUUUUUUUUCUCUCUCUCUUUAUUAUUUUAUUAUUAUUUCUUAUCUCAUAAAAAAACUCUUUCUAAAACAAUCAUAUAUAAGUACACAUUAAAACAAAAACAAUUUUUAGCGGCAUUAAAUAUUGACAUUAGUAAAGAGUGCUAAAGUCUUUACCGGCAUUAGUUAAGUGUCAUUAGAACCAACUUUGCUAAAACCUUUAGAGACAUAUACAAAAAGUAUCAAUUGCCGCUAAAAAUACAUAUUUAGUUCUUAAUUGCCACUAACAAUCAUUUUUGUUGUAGUGACAUUGUAUUAUUUGUUUAAAAAUUUAUAUGUUCGUAUUUUUAAUUUUUGUGAUGGUUAAUUAUAGUUUAUAUAAUUUAUAGUAGAAUUAAAAUAUUUUUAAGUUUUUAAAAGUGUCAUAUAUAGGAAAAUUAAUUUAUAAAAAGCUACAUUUUAUAUCUAAAAUGAAUAUUACAAAAAUAUUACAUAAAAAAUAACUAAAUAUACAAGAGAUUUAAUUUAAAUACAUAAUUUAUAUAAUAUUUAAUUAAAAAUUUGUAUAAUAAAAUAACAUUAUAAUAUUUAAAAAGUUAUUUGAUAUAAAAAUUGACGCGAAUGGAAGUUUAAAAUACUAAAUUUUACAUCAAAUAUAAAAUGUAAUGUAAAUUUUAGUGUUGGAUCGGAGAUGGUCUCUUUCGAGGGAUGAGAUAAGAGAGAAAGGAAAAAAGUUUCAGCAAAAUUCAAAAAUUAGUAAAUUCUACCCAGAAACCAACGAAAUACAGCUAUUUCUUUUCCCCUUUCCAGCUCACUCUUCUAAUACUCUAAGCAAGUGACAAUUUGCCUAAAUUUGAAAGGAGUGAAGGCUAAAGGGAAAUUGGCCUAAACUAGGGGGCGGGGGCAACUGAGGGAUGUAGAUCGAUACUAUUUUGUCGAAAAAUUAUAUGGUAUAAUUAGAUAAUAAUAUAUUCUUUAUGUAUAUAUAUUACAUAUUGAUACUCUUUGAUUCUACACAAUUGAACUUUUUUAUAUUUUGACACUCCUUAAUUAAAAUUUUGGCUCCGCCAUUGAGGGGUUGGAAGGGGGGAGGGUGUUAUGGAUUGCACCUAUUUUAGUAGAAUAGGUUUGCUGAAUUAAUUUCGAUUGGGCUAUGAAAUUUAAUUAGAUGAGGAAAUUGUAUGAAAUAGUAAACUAUCAAUUCAAAUUAAAUAUUAUAAUCGUAGUUUAUUUUUAUUUGUAAUUCGGAGCAAACAUCUAUUUUUUUGUCAUAUGUUUUGGUAUAUAAUUAGUCAUUUUUGGUAUACAAUUAGUCAUUUCAUAUAUUUCGGUAUAAAAUAUAUAAAAUGUGUUUGUGUUUAUAAAGCGAGAAAAUAGUGUAUAUACAAAUAUAAAUACGUAUAUUUUCGUCCUAUACACUUAUGAUUAUACAAAUACAGAUCUUAUUACACUACAACAAAAACAACUUUCAGCGGCAUUAAAUAUUAACACUAAUAAAGAGUGCUAAAGUCUUUACCGGCAUUAGUUAAGUGUCAUUAGAACCAAUUCGCUAAAGGCUUUAGGGACAUAUACAAAGAGUGGCAUUGCACUAAAAAAUCAUAUUUAUUAAAUGCUGCUAAUGGUCAUUUUUAUUGUAGUGUUAUACAAGGGAAAAAAUUAUGUGUUAAGCAAACUUAUACUAUUUAGUUACCAUCAUACCUACAGUUUGCUAUAAUUACCACUCGCGACUAACAUUAUACACUAAUUACGUAGGUUGAUUACGAAUUUGUAUAAUUAGUCACGUUUGCAUAUGUAUAAUUCGUCACAUUUGUAUAAUUCACACCUAACUGUUCUUUGUUUGAUUUGUAUUUGUAUAUGACGAUGAUUUCCUUUUAUUUUUUAUUUUUCCAUUAUACAUUCAAUCUUCUUGUGUAUAACUUUUGAAAAUUUGUAUAAACAUGUAGUUUUUGAAUUUUGUAUAAUAUAUUUUGUAUAAUUGUUUAUGUUUGUAUCAGUUCUUUAUUUUGAGUUUUAUUAUAUUUGUAUAAUUUCAGACUUUAUAUUACUCAAUUAUAUAAAAGUACGUGAAUUAUACUCGAAUUAUACAAAUUAUUGUCCUCUUUUGCUUGUGUUUCUCCUCCGUCUCUAAAUCUCGCCCGCCUCUCACCUUCCUCUCCCAAUCUCGCUCACCUCUAUCCUCCAUCUCCCAAUCUUGUUUGCCGCCUCUAUCCUCCCUUUCUCAAACUCUCUCACAAGAAUAUACAAAUACAUAUGUAUAAUAUAUAAUUAUCUAACCGAUAUACUAUACAAUCACUCCUCUCUCACUCUCUGCCCUCUCUCGCUGAUCUCUCCUCCCUCUCCUAGUCUCACCCGUCACUCUCCUCCCUAUAAUGUGUAGCUACGAAUAUAAUUAGAAAACUAUAUUUAUAAAGUGUAAUUAGACUAUUUUUGAAUGAUUAUAUGAGAAAGUUCCUAUAAAAGAAAAAAUGAACAUGGCCCACUAUUCAAAGUAUCAAACAAACAUAUAUAGUAGCCUCACAUAAUUUUUCGUUGGAAAAAUUACCUAACUAUAUAUCUUUUUUUACCCUAUUUUCUAUUAUUCUCUACCAUGUCAAAAAUUUACAAAAAUCUCAUAUUUUUUUUCAAACUCUCUUAUUUUCAGAUACAUAACUUUCAAUCUUCCAACUCCACUAUAUUCUUCCCUUUUUCAUGCAUAUUAUCGCACCACUAUAUCACUAAUUACCUUCAUCACUCCUUUAUUUUGAAUUUCAAAUAUGUGAUCUCUCAAGUUAAUGAUUUAAAGUUAAUCAAAAGGUAUCUUUUCUUUCUAGCUCUUUUUUAUGGGAAAACACGAACAAUAGGCUCAAUUUAUUGACUAUGUAUCAUAUGUUUGUUAGGUAUGUGCAUUAUUUUUUUAUAACUAAAUCAUUAUUUAUCAAAUUCAUAUUUUUUUUGUUUAAGAUACAUAGGUACGUCAAAUUAUAUGGCAUGAUAUAUAAAUAUUAAUUUAUACUAUAUGUAUCGAUCUCAAACCAUAUAAUUUAUCGGCAACAACUACAUGUUUAAUGUAUCAUGUAACAAUAAAUACUUAUCAAUUUAAAUGAGUAAUACAUAUACAUAGCAAUGUAUCACGCACUAAUUUUUUUUAGAUAUGAUAUGUAAAUUCAAAUUUAUACUAAAUGUAUCAAUUACAUAGUAACUGUUAGGCGAUAAUAUAUCUAGUAUAUAAAUAAAAUACUUAUCAAUUAAAAUGAGAUACAUAAAUUGUAAUGCAUAAUGCACUAAAAUUUUUUUAAAUAUGAUACGUAAAUUUGAACUUAUACUAAAUGUAUCGAUCUUAAAUCUAACAUCCCUUAUAGGCACAAUUAUUCAUUUAAUGUAUCUAGUAUAAAUAUAACACUUAUCAAUUUAAACAAAAUAUAUAGAUAGUAAAAUACUAAGAAACAAAGAUAUUCAUGACGUAUCUUCUCAAAAUUUUUGACAAUUUUUGAAUCAAAAUUUAAAGAAAUUUCAACAAAGUAGGAGAAAAAAUUUGAAUCUCAAAAUUUUCAACAAUUUUGAUCUUCGAUAUUCUGGGAGAAGAAAAUUCUUGAAUCUAAUUUUUUUUGACAAUAUUGAAUCAAAUUGAAAGGAUCUUCAAUGAACUUGAAGAUUCAAAAGGUAAUCGUUUGUUCAACAACAGUUCUAUCACUUUUGUAUCCUUCAUUACUGAUCUCACUUACCCAAAAUUUGGACAAUAUUUUUAAAAUCAAAUCUGAAAGAUUUCUUCGUUGAAUGGGGAGAGAAAUUUGAAAUUUUGAGUUUCUUCGUUAUGAUAGGAUCUGCCUUUGGAUGAUUGAGAGUAAGAAGAAACCCAAGUAUAAUUUAUGAGAUUUAAUUAAUUUCCAAAUUUUAUUCUCUUUUUAGCGCAACAAAAAGAUUACUCUUGUACUAGAAUUUUUGUAUCGGGAUAGUGACUUAUGUAUACAAAAGAUACAAAUUUUAAAAAAUUAUUGUAAUUACAAAAAAGUUUAUUGAAUGUAAUUUAUUCUUUACAGAGAUUUAUGUAAGUUAUAUUAAUUUUUUUUAAGUUAACGGAUGCAUAUGGGUCUGUUUGGGUGCAAGAGAUGUUUUAGCAUGGAUCAUGCACAAAAAAUAAAUGGAGAAAAUUGUAAAUAACAAACUGUUAAUUCAAAUUAAAUGUUAUAACUCAAUUUCUUUUGAUUUUAAUUCGUAGCAAAUACUUUGUCAUUCGUCUCUAUCCCUAGAAAUCUCGCUCGCCACUUUUCCUCGUCUCUCUCAUUUUAUACAAACACAAGUAUAUAAAUUGUGUUUGUAUAAAGCGAGAGAAAACUCUCUCUCUCUCUCUCUCUCUCUCUCUCUAUAUAUAUAUAUAUAUAUAUAUAUAUAUAUAUCUUUGUCCUUUACGCUUAUAAUUAUACAAUACAAAUUUUUAUCUGCUCAAUCGCUUUUGUUUUCGCUCUUUCUCGUUUUAUACAAACACAAAUUAUAUAUUGUAUAAUUUGUGUUUGUAUAAACUGAGAGAGAUUUGAUAUACAAAUACAGUUGUUUUUACUCGAUUUAAUUGUAAACGAAUUCAAAUUUUAUGCAAAUAUACAAACUCAAAAGAACAUGUACAUAUACAAAUGUAAUUUUCAUAGAAACAGACACUUGAUUUAUACAAAUCGAUGCAAUUUAUAAAAAUCAGAUGCCUGUGAUUUUAUACAAAUCAAAAUUGCAUGUGAUUUUUAUACGAAUCUGAUGCUAUAUGAGUUUUUAUUAUUUCAAAACCUAAAAUUACUUUAAAAAAUAUAAUUAAAAUGUUAACAAUAUUUUAAGAAUAAAUUCUUCUUAACAUAAUAAACAAAGAUGUUGAAUUUGUAUGAACAAAGACUUUCACCAACUUCAUACUUCUAAGAAUAAAAAAAUAUUAUCCUUGUUGACAAUUUCAGCUAUCUAUCUAUAUAUAUAUAUAUAUAUAUAUAUAUGGAUAAAUAUUCUAUGGACUACAUAAAUGAGGUGCGGAAGUCAAGUGAAGUCGUCAACAUUGACGAUGAGUAAUGUUUACCAAGAUGCAUGAAAUUUCAACAAGGAUCAUAUAUAAGAAUCCAUAUAUAUUCACACAAAAAAAAAAAAAAAAAAAAAAAAAAAAAAAUAUAUAUAUAUAUAUAUAUAUAUAUAUUCACACUGAAAAUGAACAUGCUUUAGGGUGUGUUUGGUUAGAAUGAAAUGUUUUCCAUAGAAAAUAUUUUUCUAGAAAAUAAAUAAAUUAUUGAUUUAUUUUUUCAUAUUUGGUUGAUGAUCGGUAGAAAAUAUUUUCUAAAAAAUUUUUAUAGUGCUUGAUUUAUGACUGAAAAAUACUUUUCAGAAAAUAUCUUUUAUUUUUACUAAAAAAUAUAAAAUUAUUUUUGAAUUAAAAUUGAAAAUAUUUUUAAAAAAUAAAUCAAAUUUUUUUAUGAAAAAUUUAUAAUUUGAAGUUGGAGAAAAGUCUUGAAAAGUUUUUUCUUAAUUUUUGAAGAAAAGUCAUUUUCCUUUAAUUUUGAGGAAAAUGAAUUAAUUUGGAGAAUAUUUUUUAAAAUCUUACCCAACUAAACAUGAAAAUAUUAAAAAACAUUUUCCUUUCGUACCUACAUAAAAUUAUUUUCAUUUUAAAUAAACUUAUUUAUGAAUUUUCCAGGAAUAUACGUUUCCGGAAUACGCAAUUUGUUGAACGUUUUACGACUAACGACAAUUUUAGUAGGCCUGUCAAUUUUGUAACCGUCUCAUCAUGUGUUUUUUUUUUUUUUAAUAUAUAUCAAUAUGUUUCGAUUAAUUUAUAAUAUUUUUUAAAAUAUCACGCAAAAGUCACAAGUGAAGGUUAGAUUAUGAUAUUAUACAACACAUACAUUUUUGUAGGAUUUGAAUAAAAACUCUUCUAAAUUUUUUGUAUGGAUUAAAAGGUAAUGAUUUAGAAGAACUCGAAAGAUGACCAUGAUAGUGAUGCAUCCCAUAGGAGUAUCUACUAUCUUAUAACUUGCUACUUGCUGCUAAAACUCGUUCAUAGCUUACUACCAUUCUAGAUCAACAUUCAUCCCCAAGCCCAAAGUGAAAACUUUAACAACUAGGGCGUAUGUUUAAUAGGAAAUGAAAAUAUUUUUUAAUUUUCUCAUGUUUAAUUGUGGUAAAUAUUUUAAAAAAUAUUUUAUUUUUUUUAAAAUUUAAAAAAAAUAAAUUAAGAAAAACAUUUUCCAAACUUUGUUGUAACUUUAAAUUACAUUAUUUUUUUAUUGAAAAAUUUAAUUUAUUUUUGUCCCUAUCCUCAAACCAGCCCUCCCCCCUCUCCCCUCCCAAAAAAAUAAAUAAAUAAUUUAGAGCUUGUUCUUUUAAAAAAGUUUCACUUCAAUUUUUUAUCACACCCCCCCCCCCCAAAAAAAAUAUAUAUUUCAAAAAUGUAAAAAAAUAAAAGAUAUUUUUGUAAAAUGAUUUUUCAUUUAUAAAUCAAAUACUAAAAAUCUUUUUUGAAAAAUAUUUUCUAUUCACGAAUCAGACAUGAGUAAAUAAAUCAAAAAUUAUUUUCCUUCGUAUCAAAUACACCCGCAACGUAUCAUCGGAGUAUCUCUUAGCUUUUUUCUUCUCUGGUGAAUUAUUUAGCACAAAUCUGAUUGGAGAUGUCAAAAUAAACACUGGAUACUAGAUAUAUAUAUCGUUUUAAUGAGACAGAAUACAUAGAUUCCCCUUGGAUUUGUACCCCUUCUUAAAAAAUAAAAUAUUAAAAAAGCUAUGGCCUAGAUUUGUUGUUUUUUUUUUUUUUUGGAUAAGUGGAACAUGAGAAAGACCGAACCUUAUCUUCAAAAUUAAAUUUGUACUUGCUUUUUUUUAAAAAAUAAAUAAUUGAAAAGGUCCUAUUAACUUAUAUAAUUACUCAAAUUCACAAUAAAUACAUCUAUUUCAGUCAUUUUCAUUGCAACUGUGUUCUCACGAAAGUUGAGUGCAUGAAGGAGUAAUAAUACAACCUUAAAUCAGUGUAAAAAUAUCACAUGAAAAUAUCAAUUUGAUUUUUUAAUUAAUAAAUCAGACACAUAUUUCCAUCAUCCUCAAAUCACCAUUAAAACCUUUAAACAACUUCAAAUCACCAUUAAAACCUUUGUACGACUUCCUCCCAUACGUAGAAAGACUUGUCAAAUUAGACUUUCCCUAACCGAUUAAUUCAUCUAGAUAUGUACUUGAGACAUAUUUCCAUUUAGAUAUGUGAUAUUUUCAUUUUUCGAAAGUCAAACAGUUUAAUUAUAAUCGGAAAUUUGCGUAUAAAAUUUUCAAAUUUUUUGACAUAAAAUUUAUAUAUUUAUAAACUACGUAAAGAAUACUAUAAGUCACAAUAAUUGAUAAUUCAAAAUGUUAAAAUGAUUUAUGAAAAAUUUACUUUGAAAAAUAUGCUUAAUUAAAUUUUGAAAUGCGACAAAAAAACGAGACGAAAAGAGUAAAUUAUAAGCUACUCAAACUAAAAUAUAGUUAUUUUUUCUCUAUUUACAUGUUUGAUAAUAUUACUCCUAUAUCAAAAUCUCAUCCAUUUGUCCCUCUCAAUUUAUUUUGACAAAUAUUUUAUUAUUUACUAAUAUUUUUCAAGCACAAAGAUAAUACAACUGCUUUUAGAAAAAGGAAAUUGAUAAAUUACACAAUUAAGCAAAAAAUUAAAAAAAAAUAAAAAAUUAACAGGUCUCUUCCUCAGUUUUCCCCUUAUUAUGUGCAUACUUUUGAAGAUUUUCACCGUGCAACUUUCCAUACCUAAACUCGUCAAAAAUUUCAACUCCCAUAUUUAUGUAAAAAUCAUAUGACUUCUUAUUCCAAACUGCGAUUAUUCCAUCGACCGAUACGAACCCAUUGUUCGCAGCAAUGGACGAAACUGUUCCAAACAACAAUUUCCCCAUUCCCAACUUUCUAUAACUCUCCCUGAAGUAAAGACUUUCAAAAUAAAAUCCUGGCUUGUCAUUGAAACAUGAAUAAUUCGCGUAAAAGAAAGCAUAUCCUGCAAUGUAAGCAUCACUCUUAUCAUCAUGUUUGGAUCGGAAUUCCUCAACUUGUCCUUCCACCACGGGGAAUUUAAGAUCAAACGUUGUAAGGACGGGCUUGAACGCUUGGUUAGUGGGUUCGUUAAAAGGGGUUGGAGAGACUUCAAGUAGAAGUACGGAUGGCCCAUAGAAAAGUGGAAGAGGAUUUUCUUUAAAAAGCAAGCCCUCUAAGGAGGACUCAGUAGCUUUGUAUAAAUGAGUGAAGUUAUGGUAUUCAUGGAUUUGGUAAAACAAUUUGUAUAUAUGAGAUAGAUCAGAUUUUGUUGCGAGACGAACUCGUGUGUAUAUCUUUCCAGUGAUGGUAACGUCCGAUGAUGCAUCGGUGGUUAGUGAGUCAGAUAGAGAUGGAGAUGGAGUUGGUUGUUGAGAAGUAGGAGCCAUGGGAAUGAGAUAAAAUUAAAGGAGUAGGAGAAAAGUUUAGUAAUGGGAUAUUGUGUGGAAAUACUUUAGUAUCAUAAUGGUUAUUUAUAGUGGAGAAUUAAGUUGGCUCUUUUUUUAAAAUUCAUUUAUUUUAUUUGCUAGUGAGAUUAGUGGAUUUUCCAACAAAAAUAAAAUGGUUGGUGGAGGUCAACUAUAACGUGCGUUCUAUGGGGUCGAGUCAUUGAAGCAAUUGGUUUGGCCUUUGGCCACCAAUUUUGCUGUUUUGGGUCUCGGUUGUUUCUCAAAAGAAUUCCAUAGUGAUAUACUCUUUUUAAGUAGUUUUGAAACACUCUAAAGUUUUUCGUUAUUUCCUAAAUUAAUAUUCAGUAAAGUACUUCAUAUAAAAACUUGAGAAAAAAUAAUAAUAAUAAAAAUGAAGUUGGACUGAACCCUGGUUUAUAUAUAGUAUGGUUGGGGUUUAAAAUUUUGACUAGUAAAACUUCAAAAACAAUUUACUAAAUUUAAAUUUUUAGAGUUUAAGCAUAUUGAAUUUUGACAAGUAAUAUUGUUGGAUUGUUUGUUACUGUUAUAAAUAUAUAGAAUUAAGUGAAUUGUCCAUUAAGCUUAUCAUAAAUUUAUUCUUAUUAUGGAUAUAUAUUUUCAAGGUGAUAUGAACUUUUUUGAGAUACAAAUGUAUCUACUAAUGUCACAUUAAACAUGGUGACCUUUUGAUUGAUUUCUCUAUCUAUAAAUAGAGAUAUCAUUCACCAUUGUAAUAUACACUUGAAGAAGAAAAUUCAUUUUCUUCUAUCUACUUCUCUUGUCUUCUUCUCUUUAUGAUUAUAUUCUUAUGAGAUUGAUUUAUAACACGUAUUAGCACGAGUAUAUAGCCAAUUAAGAUUGAGUUUUUUAGUUUUUCUUUAACUCAUUUUUUGGUUGAUCUUGUUAUGAGAAUCAAGGUAUUAUAUCCAUAAAAUCAGGUAUUUAGUUUCUAAAAUAUUUUUACGAUUUAGAAUAAAAUAGUAUUUAGUCACUAACAAUUAUCAGAAUUCGAAGACAUAUCCUACUAUUGGUUGAAUAUGAUAUGCUAUACAAAAUUUCUUAGAUAGAAGAAGGUAUAAAAAUUUAAUAGCAUGAGUUUGAAUAUUAUUUUGAUUGUUUUGAAAGACUCAAAGGGUGAGUCAUGUUGUACUUCGGUCUAUUAUACCGUUGGUUAAGGGUAAGACGAUGGAUUCAAGUCUCAUCGCACCAAAAAGGGUAAGACAUCAGGUUAAGUCUAGAUGCACAUAAUGAAAAAUAUUUGAUGAUAAGACGAUAGAUUCAAAUUCUAUCGCACCAAGAGGGUAAGACAUCAAUUUUGAUGCACUGUGAUAAUAAUGUAUUGGGUUCAAGUUCCAUAGAAUUAUGACCUAUGUGCCUUAUAUGGAUAAGACAUUGAGUUUGACUCUCAAUGCACCAUAGUGGUGAUAAAAUGAAGAUUAAGGCAAAAAUAAUAUAUUUUUGAUGAAAUGUCUUGAAAUUCAUCAUAUUGAUUUUGCUCCAUUUCUUGAAAAGAAUGUGGUAGCAACAUGUGAUAAUUUUGAAAUCCGCCUGUUAACUUGCUCCAUUCAAUCAUAUGAAUAUGAUAGCAGUGAAUAAUUAGUCCGAAAGAUGACAAAUAAUUAAUGAUAUGAAUAAGGGCGUGGAGGGACAGAAUUAUAAUAGUCAUCAUUGUGGUAAUUAUAAAAGGAAGAACACUAUGGAUUCUUUAAAUAGUCCUUCAAAAUGUGAAGACAAUUUUUAAUUUGAUAAAAACUAAAAUUCAACUUAAUUUUUUUGUAAUAAAUGUUUAAACUAAUUUUUCUAUAUUAAAUAAUUUUAAUAUUAAAAGUAUAUUAGCACUCGCCCUUAAUCGUAAUUUGAUUUUCAAAAACACAUUUUUGAAAAAAAUAAUAAUCAAACAUAAUUUAUUUAUAAAAAUUACUUUUCAAAUCAAUUAGGUAAAGGCGAAUUAUUUUUUUUUAACUCUAGGUAGGAGUGUUUUUUAUUUGGUUUGUGAUGGUGGAAUUUAAAAAAUAAAAUCGGAAGUCAAAGGUAAAAACAAAUACUAUUGUCAGGAUUUUAGAAAAUAUUGACUUGACAACCAUCAAAGUAUGAUAAUUAUUUAUUGCAAAAAAUGGGAUAACCUAUUAAACGGCUGUUUUGAGUUCUUCGUGUUUUUUCUUCCUCAUAUGCUCGAUUGUAAUUUUCUGCCUAUUUAAUUCGAUUCAUUAGAUAAUACUCUACUAUUACAUUGUCAUUUUACCUAUAGUAAUUCUAUUCACUAGAGUUAAUUUAGUCCUUUUCUUUUGUAAGAAAGUGACUUGUGAUGAGAACAUAUGGCAAUUACCUUUGUAGAUUUAUCUACAAUGUAUAAUAAAUAAUAUGACUUUGUUCAUAAUUGGAAUUUGUUUCUCCUAAUAGUUCUCCAAAGAUCAUUGUCAGUCAUCAUAUGUCCCUCAUAAAUUCCACUAAUUAUCUACUCCCUAAUUAAUCUUACUUUUAAAAACUGAUCUGAUUAUUACGCUAUAAAUGCUCGUGUUGGACCAGAAAAACGUCUGAGCUGCCUUUACUAGUAACACAUGAUAAGUUGAAAUUUGUAUAUGAUUUGCACUUACCUUAUUGGUGAGAAUGACCAAUAAUGAAAUAUAUAUGACGUUUUAAAAUAUAGUUGAAAGUGCAAAAAGAUUCCCGUAAAAUGCAAAUAUUUAUUAAAAAUUAGAUAUAAAUUUUAAGGAAACUUUAUGCAUUAUAAUAAGUAUUAAAAAAAAAGCAAAAAAAUAAUGUAAUUCCAAAACCUUUUUACAACUUCUUUCUUAUCUAAAAAAACACUUUUUAAACUAGAAAAUUAAACGUGGAUGCAAGACCUUUGUACAACGAGCGCAUUGAUUCAUCUAUAUAUAUACUAGAUAGGGUUGCAUGUGCUAAGCAUAAACAUUUAUAUUUUGUAAUGUUUUUGAUAACUCCGUUCUUUAAUUUUUUUUAUAUUAUCGCUUUUCAAACAACUUAUAAACUUCAUUUUAGAAUAAAAUUAAGAAAAAAUAUGAGCAAGUAUAUAAAAAGCUUGAAACUAAUUAAUUUUAUUGGUAUAUAAUUUACUAUUUGCUGAAGCAACAAUAAAUUGUAAAACAAGAAGUUACGUUAAAGCAAAAAAAUCACAAACUUCUACUGAAAUUUCUUAACAUAAUUUUUUGUUACAUAGUUUGUCACUUUAUUGGUUCUUCCGGUAGUUAUUUGGUCUUCAUAUAAUACAAGAUAUUCAACUCAAAUGAUACAAUAAAUAUUGAUCUUGCAUUUCACAAUUCAACAUACUCAUCUUGCUUUACUUAAGCUUGAUAUGAUAAAACAAAUUUAUCAUAACUUCAGCUGAAAUACAUCAACAACCUUUGCACUAUUUUUAGAUUGAACCCCAAAGAGAGGAUUAAGUAAUGAACUCCCAAUUCAAAAUGGAGUCUGACGAACUGAUCAAAUAUGUGUCAAAUAACAUUGAAAGGGAAAUUCUUUUUUAUUCUGUCACUAAUCCAUGGAAUGUAAGCCACAUUUCAUUACUAAUAUCUUUCGAAGCAAGUUUCAAAGCUGCAAAAAAACUAUAACAAAAAUAAUGUAGGACAUGCAUAAGUGCUAUAUUUUUGAAACAAUUCAAAAAAGAAGUAUGAGAAAACUUUAAACUAGCAGAACAGUUGUAUAGUAAAAUAUACAUUUUCUUACCGAAUUAGACUUGUUUCAGCAAUCCCUGCAUGAUAUAUAUUUCAUAGAAACUUCAGUUAAUUUCAAGCUAUAACUUCAUAUAAUUAUCAAUAUUUCGACAGAGCAGUAGUUUAUAUGAGUGAGAAGACAGUGGGUUGUUUCCUUCCUGAUCUUCUCUGUACAUGCAACUCCUAUUGUGGUAUUUUCAAUAACAUAUCAUUGAUGGAUAUUAAGAUAUAGUGCAGGCUACUUGAAACAAAAAGCCUACUAUUUAAGUAGAGUAGGAUAAUUUAACAAUAGUUUUCAAAAUUUACUUGUAAUAUAUUAAAUAUCAAAGAACAUUACCAUUGUAAACAUGAUUUUGACCGGCAAUUACCUGAAAGGCAACAACAAAAGCUCUUAUUUAGUGUGACAUUAGAUGAAUGAGUUAUGGUAAAAAUAGAGUGUCACCUUAAAGAACAUAUUAAAGUCUAACCUCAAGUAAAUAUCCAUCAAAUAUCUAUAACAAUAAUAAUUUAUCACAAUACAAUUAAACAACAUGUCAGUUGUCACACAUGUACGUUGUCCAACAAAAAGCUUAACAAAAAUUAAAUCCGGUAGAAUACAACAUGUUAGCCAUAUAAGAUCAAAAGAAAAACAAACAAUAUUGUAAUCAGGCAAAUAACAGUAACUUCAAUAAAAUGAUUGUGUUAAAAUGUUGUAUAUACAUACGGAAAUAAUCAUGCUAGCAAUAAUACAGAUACAUAGAUGUAGCUAAACUAUUCAUAGAAGAGGCGCUAGUCUAAAAAAAGACAAGGGAAAUACUACUUGAACAACUCAAAAUUUACUUAGAAAUUGACUAAAAUCGCAACUCAUAUAGUCAAGUUUGGUCAGAUACUGACACACAAACAUUUAUUUCUAUUAUACACAUAGAGGUAAUACCAAAAUUCAACAAAAUUAAAUUUGAUGUAAGAUUCAAUAGUUAUAGUCAUAGAUUUGUACAUUGUUCUCAACAUCAUUUCAUGUAAGGGAGCAGGGGAAUUACUAAACAAAAAUAAAGGUAUAGAUAGAAAAGACAACAUAAACUCAAAAUUAUUCUAGAAUAAUGAAGUAAGCUCAUAGCAUGAAUAGUCUAAGACAAUCCCAUAUAAAGAUCUACAUUGUAUAAGACUCUUAACUGAAAUUUUUAUUUUUGUUUAGAAUUUCAUUAGCAACUGCAUUGAAAUUACUUUCCAGUUAAAAGAAAAAAAAAUAUUCGUUAGUGAGGUAUCAAACAUUUUACAAUGUUCCAAAACUUUUAUUUAAGAGAAGAAAAAUGAAAAGGUAGUCGAUGUAGCUUGGUAAUGAUAAAAGUAUAAGAAAUAAUAUUUUUAACACUCUGUUAAACUUUACUUGUAUCGUUAUUCUAACAUAUGAUUUGAUAUCGAAGAUGCUGAAGCGAAGUCGUUAUUUUAAGUUGAAUUCGCAUGACCACAUUUAAAAAAUCAUAAAGCAUAAUGAAAGAAGGCAACACUUGUUAUUCUACAUACUGAAAAAGAAGAAUGGAUAGUUCUCGAGUAAUGCAUUGAGUGUAUUUGUUAGUAUAUAUUUACAUUUUUACCCUUAUUAUUCUACAUACUAAAAAAGAAACAAAUGGAUGGUUCUAGAGUCGGGCAGAGAGUGUACUACCUUUGAUAUAAUAAUAAUAAAAGGACAAAAUGUAUCUGAAAUGAGAAAGGAUAGUUUCUGAUUUGCUUAAAUAACAUUAUUUUACCUUUGAAAAUGAGUAUAUUUACAUUAUUGCCGGUGAUCCAUUGGCUCUUCUAUAUAAUUAAUAAAUUAAUAAUUAAUAAUUAAUAAUUAUAAAUUAUAAAUUAUAAUUAUAAUAUAAUAUAAUUAGCUUGAUGAAAAAUCAAUCAGAGUUGAGCCCAUAAUGUAGUGCUACGUAGGUCAAAAAGGGUAGAAAAUUAUUAAUAAAAUAAGUUCAGGAGAAAAUAGGACCUUAAUAUAGUAUAAGUAUGUCUCUAAAAUUUCGAACGUAUGUUACAGGGAUACUUAUGUAUUGUUCCUUUUUUUUUUUUCAAUUCUAGUUAUUAUAAUUAAUUGUUUGUUAGUAGAUUAGUGCUUUUGUUUGUAGGGAUGCAUUAUUUAAUUGUUAAUUUCAUUUGAUUAUUUCACUUACGUAUAUAUUGGAGUAAUUUAAUUAAAAAAUUUAAAAUAUUAUUUAUAAAAUGUGAAUAAUUUUUAAUAUAAAAUUUUGGACUUUUUUUUAUUAUAAUCUUCAAUAUUGUUCUAAAUGAAAUUAAAAUUAUUAUAUUCACCAUUAAAAUUUUUGCAGCUAAACAUAUAUUUUAUUAGUUUCAUCAUCACCUAAAACCAUAAUGUACUUUCUUCAAAAGUUAAAAUUUUGAAUAGCAAACAAUAAUUGUUUUAAUAUAACCAUAUGUGAAAUAACCCUAGAAUCAAAUAUCAAAAUCUAAUUUUGAAUAGAUAAUUAUAUAUGUUUAAAACAAACAAAUAAGGAAAAAAAUGAAAAAGAACAGACAAGAGUACAAAAUACAUACCAGAGAGAAGAGGUCGUAUAGCAACAAUUAAAUCAAAAAUAAAAAUUAGAACCCUAACUAUUAAAAAUAAAUUUGUUUGAAAAGUUUUUUAUUUAUAUUAGAACAAAAAUACUAUUUUCUAUUUAGAAAUCGCUAGAUGCGUAGAAGCUACUAGGCCAUUCACUUCACUUUGUUUGUAAGUUCGCAGGAAAUAUAUCUAUACUUUUUAUCUGAUAUUUCAAUAUGAAUAUAGAGUCUACGAAAAAAAUUUACAUACAAAAUUUAACACGUCAAAUCUUAAUCUAUUUUUAAAAAUCUUGCAGAGUCAACACUGCAAAUCAAAAUUCUAUUUUCCAGUAAAACAAAAGCAAUGGUCAUGUCACUUCAAACUUUGUAGUUGAACUAAACCUUACAGAUUUAUGCAUCUUUAUGGAUCAUAAGCUCUAACUAUGUAUUAUUAUUAUUAUGUAAGAAACAAUAAAAAUAAAACACCAAAGUAAUGGCUAGCAAUGACUUUUUAAAAAAAAAAACUGCCGCAAGGUGCUGAGACACCUACGCCUUGUAAGGCUCAAAGGUGGUUGAGCCUUACAAAGCUCAUGAUUUUUUGAGCCUUGUAAGGCUCAUGGGUAAAUGAACCUUAUCUUAAAAAAUCUAAUUUAAAUGGUGUUAGAGAAAAUUAUCCUUUUGAUAUCAUAAUUAAUUGAUUUGUUCUAUUGAUAUUAUAAAUCUAUAUAAUGUGUUUAAGCAUACUCAAGAAUAUGUAAAAAGCCCUUAAUAUAGUGCAUCAUAUUGUAAAGAAGUUCUACAUUAGUAGAGGGAUAAGAGAUUAAGUGGUCUCUUUAUAUGCAUUUUGACAAAUUUCCCUUACCCUCAUGAGCUAGUAAGUUAGAUGUAAAAUCUAAUUUAACUUGAUAUCAAAGUCAAGUCUAUUUCAAUAUUUGUUGUUCACCGAUGUAAUGUUGUGCCCCCAUUACAAGUGUUCACCUGCUAAGCACUGAGUUUGAGAUGAGGUGUUAAAGAGUGAUAAAAGUCUCAAAUUGGUGGUUAAUGAUAUGGAUGAACUCUUUAUAAGGAUUGGAUGAUCCUCCUUUCUUUAAGUUAGUUUUUGUCGUGUGAAUUAGAUUUAAGACCUAAUUUAACGUAUAUGUAUGCAUGUUCAUAACAUAUUACGUUAUUGUAUAUGUACCGGGGCAGCCAAACAUAUUAAGUUAAUUAGGAACGCAAUCACAUAUUUUCAGAAAAUCUAUUUAGUCGUUUAGUUGAUUAAUUAAUUACUUUAGCUUCAUAAUUUGCAUCGUCUGUCUCAUUUUUGUUGGACACUGGUUGAGAGUUCAUUCUAACAUUUUUGACUUCUUAUGGGCUAAGAGAGACGAAAUUACAAUGAGCGGUAAUUAAGGUUAUGCCCCUCCCUAUGUACUUUGAACUUACCUCUAAAUAUAGAAAGAUGUGAUUUUUUUAAAGUUAAGAAAAAUGUGAUUUUUUUUUUAAUAACUUAAAGAAGAAGAAGAAGAUCAUGUAAAUUGAAUAGAGGGGUUUAAUGUGAUAAUUAUCAAUUUAAAAUUUUCAAAUACAAAUUUAAUGAGCAUUCUGCUUUUACAAAAUUACAAAUAAGAAAUGUAUGAAUUGAACUUUCACUAUUUUUAUUAAAAGAAAACACACAGUAGCUAACAGCUGCCUUCGUUAUUUAUGUCCUAGUUAUGAGCAUACUUUUGAAGAUUUUCACCAUGCAAUUUGCCAUACCUAAACUCAUCAAAUACUUCAACUCCCAUAUUUAUGUAAAAAUCAUAUGACUUCUUAUUCCAUACUGCGAUUAUUCCCUCUACUGAUACGAAUCCAUUGUUGGCAGCAAUGGAUGCAACAGUUCCAAACAACAAUUUCCCCAUUCCCAACUUCCUAUAACUCUCCCUGAAGUAAAGACUUUCAAAAUAGAAUCCAGGUUUGUCAUUGAAACACGAAUAAUUCGCGUAAAAGAAAGCAUAUCCUGCAAUGUAAGCAUCACUCUUAUCAUCAUAUUUGGAUCGGAAUUCCUCAACUUCUCCUUCUACGACUGGGAAUUUAAGGUCAAACGUUGUAAGGAUAGGCUUGAACCCUUCGUCUGUAGUAUUUUUAGGUUCGUCAAAAGGUGUUGGAGAGACUUCAAGUAGAAGUACGGAUGGACCGUAGAAAAGUGGAAGAGGGUUUUCUUUAAAGAGCAAGUUGGCUAAGGAGGACUCAGUAGCUUUGUAUAAAUGAGUGAAGUUAUGGUAUUCAUGGAUUUGGUAAAACAAUUUGUAUAUAUGAGACAAAUCAGAUUUCGUAGCAAGACGAACUCGUGUGUAUAUCUUCCCAGUGAUGGUAACAUUAUUGUUUUCCGAUGAUACAUCGGUAGUUAUUGUCUCAGAUGGAGCAGGAGCCAUGGGAAAGUGUUUAGUUAAAUUUGAGGUUUGAGAUUAAAGAAAAAGUUGAAAGGUUUAGUAAUGGGAUAAUAUUGUGUGUGUUUGGGAUAAUAAUAGUAGUUAUUUAUAGUAGUGGAGAAUUUGGCUCUUUUUAAAAUUCAUUAAUUGGGUUGUUGAGAUGGCUUUUCCAACAAUUAAAGAAAAGGUUGGUGAAGGUCAACUCUGGUGGCGUGCGUUCUAAAGGGUCGAGUCAUUGAUGCAAUUGGUUUGGCCUUUGGUCCCAAUUUUGCUUCUUUUUUUUUUCACCCAAAAAAAAGUAGGGAUGAUAUCUUUUGAGUUAUAUAUAAAAAAUCGGCCACUAAUUUUAUGUAGUUGAUAAUAUUUAAUUGUGACAAUUUAUAUGACAAGUUUUAUUUUUAUUUAGUUCAAGAAUAAUGACUCAUUGCAAAACUUAAUAAUGAUAUCAAUAUUUUAUUCACGUUAGAUUCCACUUGUUUGGUAAAAAGAUUCAUAAAGGUACACUCUUUUAUAGAUUAUUUUGAAACAUUUUAAAGUUUUCCCUUUAUUCCAUGUACUUAAUUUUAAUUAAAUUACGUUAUAUAAAUUGAGAUGAAUGGGAUAUUUGUUAAUAAUAAAAAAAAAAUUGAACCGAACAAUUCUAGUUUAUAUAUAGUAUAGUUGGAGUUACAAAUUUUGACAAGUAAACUUUAAAAAUAAUUUACUCAACUCAAAUUUUUACAGUUUACGCAUAUUAAAAUUCAAUAUAAUUUUAAGUUUGAGAAACAAUUCAUAGCAUUCAGACGUUAAUAGUUUAAAUUAAUAAUUAAUUCAUGAAUUUUCAACAAAGAAGAAAUAUAGACAAGAAAACAAGUGUAUGCAUAGGACCAUGCAAAAUAUCAUAAAAAAAUUAAUUUUCAACUUCUUUAUCUUACAACUGUAAACAACUACGAAGGAACUGGAAAUUCUUCAAAAGUUAAAUGUUGAAUAUUUCAUCAAUAUUGAUAAUAAUCAUAUGGAUUCCAUAUAUGUGGCUUGAAAUUAGAGUCAAAUGAAAUCCGUCGAUAUUGACCAAAAUAUAUGAAAACUCAAUAAGGACGAUUUAUUAUAAGAAUCCAUAUAUAUUCACAUUGAAAAGGAACAUAUUUUACAGAAUUUUAUCAUGAAUUUUCGGGAAAUAAGUGUUAGGUUAUUAGCAUUUUAAUAUUAAUAUUUAACAUAUUAAAUUGCUUUAUUUUGGAGUUAUAAGAAUGAAUGACUUCUACAUCAUCCAUUAGCAUUGGUUAUCCAUCAAUUUAUUUCAUUCUUAAUUCCUCCAUUACUCCCUUUGUAACCUAUGUAACAUAUGUAACUCCCUUUGUAACCUAUGUAACAUAUGUAACUCCCUUUGUAACAUAUGUAACAUAUGUAACUUCCAUUGUAACUUAUGUAACCUAUGUAACUCCCAUUGUAACCUAUGUAACUCCUAAGGCCAUUAUCUUCACUAUUUACUACCUCCAUUAUCUUCCUAUUUAUUGCUAGGAAGACUUCUUGUAAUAUAAAUAGUGGUAGUCUUCAUUUGGUUUUAGAGACACAAAAAAUUCAUAAGAGAAAACAAAGAGUGAAAGAGUUAGGCUAAAGAGAGUUCUUAUUAGUUGAAGGGAGGUGUUCUUUUUUUGUGGAGCUUUGGACUCAACUCUUGUCCAGAGUUGUUGAGUUAUACUUUGUAAAGGCUGUUGUAUCCUGGAGGGGAGAUCUUGACAUCCGCGGUUUUUUCAAUUGUAGCCAUCUUUGAAUAGAUGGAAGGGUAAAGUACUUUUCUACUUAAGUCUUCUCAAUGUUUCUUACGUUUUAACCGAGAAGAAUCCAAAUAAAGAAGACAUCACUACUAUGAAUGAUGAUGAAACUAUUUCUCAUCUAGAGAAAGUGGAAAAGUACGAUGAUGAUUCUUAUAAGUGUCGGUAUUAUCUUCUUAAUUGUCUAUCUGAUAAUUUUUAUGAUUAUUAUGAUAGAACUUACUCUAGUACAAAGAAAAUUUGGAAGACAUUGCAGAGUAAGUAUGAUACCGAAGAGGCUGGAGCGAAAAAAUAUGCAGCUAGUAGAUUUUUUCGUUUCCAAAUGGUGGACAACAAAUCAGUGGUAGAUCAAGCUCAAGACUUCAUCAUGAUUGUCGGAGAGCUUAGGUCCGAAGAGGUUAAAAUUGGAUAUAACCUUAUUGUUUGUGGCAUAGUGGAUAAACUUCCACCUUCUUGGAAGGAAUUUCAAAAAAUUAUGCGUCACAAACAAAAGGAAACCUCUCUUGAAAGCUUGAUAAUGAAAAUCUGCAUGGAAGAAGAAGCAAGAGGCCAAGAUGCACUUUUACAAACAGAAGAGAACAACAUCACAUCGAAGGUAAAUUUAAUUACUUCGAAUAAUGCUACUCCUGAAACUCACAAAAAUACUUCUUUAAAGCCUAAGAAGAAAAAAUUCAAGAAAAAUAAUGGUAGACCUCCCAAGAAAAAUAAUGGUGAAAAUCACCAAGCACAAAAUCAACAAGUUCAAGAAAAGGGACCAUGCUUUGUUUGUGGCAAGAGUGGACAUAUUGCUCGAUUUUGCAGAUUCCGGAAACGUGGUCCUAACCCUCAGGCAAACGUUACCGAAGAACCUUUUGUGGCGGUGAUUACCGACAUAAACAUGGUUGAGAAUGUUGAUGGAUGGUGGGCUGAUUCUGGUGCAAACCGUCAUGUCUGUUAUGACAAAGACUGGUUUAAAAAAUAUACUCAUUUUGAGGAGCCCAAAACUAUAAUGCUUGGUGAUGCUCACACUACUCAAGUGCUUGGAAAUGGAGAUGUUGAAUUGUGUUUUACUUCUGGAAGGAUAUUAACAUUGAAAGAUGUACUUUAUACUCCUUCUAUGAGAAAAAAUUUGAUGUCUAGUUUUCUUCUUAAUAAAGCAGGCUUUAAACAAAUUAUUGAAUCUGAUCAAUAUGUAAUAGUGAAGAAAGGUAUUUUUGUGGGGAAGGGGCAUGCAUGUGAUGGGAUGUUUAAAUUGAAUGUUGAAAUGAAUAAAACUUCUACUUCUGUUUAUAUGCUUUUUCUACUAAUUUUUGGCAUGCUUGUUUGUGUCAUAUUAAUGAUCGUUAUGUUUGAAUCAUGAGUAGUUUAGGAUUAAUCCCAAUGGUUAAAAAGAAUUUUGAAAAGUGUGAGACUUUUAGUAAAGCCAAGAUCACUAAAAGGCCUCAUUUUCAAGUUGAAAGAAAAACUGAUUUGUUAGAAUUAGUUCAUACUGAUAUUUGUGAACUUGGUGGAAUUCUAACUCGUGGAGGUAAUAGAUAUUUUAUCACUUUCAUUGAUGAUUUUCUAAGUUUACAUAUGUUUACUUGAUGAAAAAUAAAAGUGAUGCUUUUGAAAAUUUCAAAACUUAUCUCAAUGAGGUUGAAAAUCAGUUUGGAAGAAAAAUAAAAAGAAUUAGAAGUGAUAGAGGCCGUGAAUAUGAAUCAAAUGAGUUUAAUUCUUUUGUUCGAUCAUUGAGAAUAAUUCAUGAAACUACUCCUCCUUACUCUCCUUCGUCUAAUGGAGUAGCAGAAAGGAAAAAUAGAACUUUAGUUGAAUUGACUAAUGGCAUGCUAAUUGAGUCGCAUGCACCUUUAAAUUUUUGGGGUGAAGCUAUCUUAACUGCUUGUUAUGUGUUGAAUCGUGUGCCUCAUAAAAAGUCUAAAUUGACACCUUUUGAAUUGUGGAAAGGUUACAAGCCAAGUUUGGGAUAUCUAAGAGUUUGGGGUUGUCUAGCCUUUGUGAGGCUAAUGGAUCCCAAGAUUACAAAGUUGGGUAAGAAAGUUACUACUUGUGCUUUUCUUGGUUAUGCUUCAAAUAGUAUAGCCUAUAGAUUUUUUAUUCUUGAAGAUAAUAUUGUAGUAGAAUCUGGUGAUGCUAUUUUUCAUGAAAAUAAAUUUCCUUUUGAUACUAAAAUAGUGGGGGUCAAAGGAUUGAACAAAAUAUUUUGUCACUACCUAGUUCUUCUACUUCAACUUUAAAAAAUAAAAAUGUUGUUGAUUUUGAGUUAAGAAGAAGUAAAAGAGCUAGAGUAGAAAAAGAUUUUGGUCCUGAUUUUUAUGUGUUUAAUGUUGAAAACGACCCUCUAACUUUGAAAGAAGCAUUAUCUUCACAUGAUUCUAUUUUUUGGAAAGAGGCUGUAAAUGAUGAAAUGGAAUCUCUAAUUUCUAAUAAAACUUGGAAGUUAGUUGAUUUACCACCGGGUUGUAAAACAAUUGGUUGCAAAUGGGUCUUAAGGAAAAAGUUGAAACCGGAUGGUUCUAUCGACAAAUACAAGGCUAGGCUAGUUGCAAAAGGUUUUAAACAACUAGAAGGCCUAGAAUUUUUUGAUACUUUUUCUCCGGUAACGAGAAUUACAUCCAUUAGACUUUUAGUUGCUAUGACUGCAAUUUUUGAUUUGCAAAUUCAUCAAAUGGAUGUAAAAACUACUUUUCUAAAUGGAGACCUAAAUGAAGAAAUUUAUAUGGACCAACCCGAGUGUUUUAUUGAAGCAGGCCAAGAAAGCAAAGUAUGUAAACUUACUAAAUCCCUAUAUGGCUUAAAACAGGCACCAAAGCAAUGGCAUGGAAAGUUUGAUUCCUACAUGAUUGAAAAUGGUUUUAAGACAAAUGAGUGUGAUAAAUGCAUAUAUCAUAAGUCUUGGAAUAAUUCACAUGUGAUCAUUUGCCUAUAUGUUGAUGACUUGUUGAUCUUUGGCUCUAACAUGAAUAUUAUUAAUGAAGCUAAAAAUGUUCUUAGAAGCCAUUUUGAUAUGAAAGAUCUUGGUGAGGCAAAUUUUAUUCUUGGAAUAAAAAUAACAAGAACAUGUGAGGGGAUUUUCCUUGACCAGUCACAUUAUGUUGAGAAAAUUUUGAAAAAAUAUAACUUUCAUGAUUGCAAGCAUGUUGCUACUCCUUUUGAUUCAAGUGUUCACUUAUUUCCUGUUGAAAGUGAAAAUGAUGUAAUAAAUCAAAAAGAAUAUGCUAGUAUAAUCGGAAGUUUGAGAUAUGUGACAGAUUGCACUAGGCCUAAUAUUGCAUAUGCAGUAGGAGUACUUGGCAGGUUUACAAGCAAGCCAGGUAAUGAACAUUGGCAUGCUAUAACAAGAGUUAUGAGAUAUUUAAUUGGAACGAAAAAUUGUGGUUUGUUCUAUAAAAAAUAUCCUGAUGUACUUGAAGGCUUUUGUGAUGCGGAUUGGAACACUUUGUCAGGUGAUUCCUGUUCUACAACUGGUUAUGUCUUUACUUUAGGUGGUGGUGCUGUUUGUUGGAGCUCAAAAAAGCAAACUAUAAUUUCCAACUCUACCAUGGAGGUUGAACUAAUUGCUUUUGCUUCAGCUAGUGAGGAAGCAAAUUGGUUAAGAGAUUUAUUGUUUCAAAUUCCUUAUUUUGAAAAAUCAAUUCCUCCUAUUCAUUGUGAUAGCAUCGCUGCAAUUGGUAGAGUUCAAAACCGUUAUAACAACGGUAAAUCCAGACCUAUAAGGAGGAAACACAGUAAUGUAAGAUCGUAUUUGACAAAUGGUACCAUUAAUGUUGAUUAUGUCAAAUCUUGUGAUAAUCUUGCAGAUCCUCUUACAAAGGCCUUAACAAGAGAAAAGGUUUGGAGCACAUCGAGGGGGAUGGGAUUGAAGCCUACAAAUUCUUGAGUCAUAUAUGAGGAAACCCAACCUGGGGACUAGAGAUCCUAUAACCAGGUUCAAAGGGAAAAACUAAUCAUAUGAUGACUUGUUGUGAAAAAUGCACAAUUUUUUCCCCCUCCCUAUGAUGUGAGUGCAUUAUUUUCUGUAGUUUGUGAAGGUUGAGUUGAUAAAACUCUUAAUGAAUAUCUGUAGCCCGUAUGGGUGGAGUGUUAAUCUUACAGGAGCACUCUCGACAGAUUUCACCUAUGUGAUGUGUGGAAGUAGGUCGCUUCCUAUGAGAAUGAGGCUUAUUCUCAAAUGCACUCAUGAAACCGGGAUAGUACAUGGCCAUAACGUGCUGGCUGUUAAAGCUCAUGUCAAAACCUUGAUUAUUAUGUGUGAGCAGUGAUAUUUUAUUUCCCUUAAGCAGUCAUAGUUCAAGUCUGAGACCACUACGACUCUGGAGUAAAAGUUACUGUUUCACUAAGUGGAGGUUCAAUGCAGAGCACACCUUCAUUAUGCACAGUAGUCUUCCUUCAGCUGAUAUACUCUCUUAUCUAAAUAUUAAAAUGAGUGGGAGAUUGUUAGGUUAUUAGCAUUUUAAUAUUAAUAUUUAACAUAUUAAAUUGCUUUAUUUUGGAGUUAUAAGAAUGGAUGACUUCUACAUCAUCCAUUAGCAUUGGUUAUCCAUCAAUGUAUUUCAUUCUUAAUUCCUUCAUUACUCCCUUUGUAACUUAUGUAACAUAUGUAACUCCUUUUGUAAUAUAUGUAACAUAUGUAACUCCCUUUGUAACAUAUGUAACUCCCAUUGUAACUUAUGUAACCUAUGUAACUCCCAUUGUAACCUAUGUAACUCCUAAGGCCAUUAUCUUCACUAUUUACUACCUCCAUUAUCUUCCUAUUCAUUGCUAGGAAGACUUCUUGUAGUAUAAAUAGUGGUAGUCUUCAUUUGGUUUUAGAGACACAAAAAAUUCAUAAGAGAAAACAAAGAGUGAAAGAGUUAGUCUAAAGAGAGUUCUUAUUAGUUGAAGGGAGGUGUUCUUUUUUUGUGGAGCUUUGGACUCAACUCUUGUCCAGAGUUGUUGAGUUAUACUUUGUAAAGGCUGUUGUAUCCUGGAGGGGACAAGUCAAAGAGGACUACUGCUGGACCGGUGAAAACAUUUGCUACAGUGGGCUUGAAUCUCCUUAAAGAAAGCGAGAUAUCCACGCCUCAGCCUGAAGAGAUUACUUUCUUCAUUUUAUUUUCAAUUGUAAUCUUGCAAUUUUAUUAUCUUGUAAGUUUUUUUUCACUAACAAUAAGUGUUUCAGUAAAUGAAAACUAAGUCAAUCAUGCAGAUUCAUGGAAGGAAAACUUAUUUGGAUGGUGCUUUUUAAUAAAUAAUUAUGGAUUUUAGCGAUAUUUUUUAUUAUUAUCAUUUAUAGCAAUAUUAUGUUAAAUAUGUAAUAUGUAUUAAAAGUGAAUUUUUAUAUAUAUAUAUAUAUAUAUAUAUAUAUAUAUAUAUAUAUAUAUAUAUAAAUGUAUAAAUGUGUAACAAAUAUAUUAUUCAUCAAUAAAACUUGUAUUAUAUGGGAAUGAUAAAUUGUUCUUUCUAUUAUGAAUUAAAAGUGUAUUAUAAAUAUAUUAAAAAUAAUUAAGUGAAAAAAUAUAUUAUUUACUAUAAAUGAUAAAUAUUUUUUAUUUAUUGUAUAUUUAUGUAAGUCUCCUUCACGACAAUCCUACUGGGAGUGCAUGAUCCGACUCAAUCAGGUGUUUCUUUUUUAAAAAAUCAUAUCGCAUUAAUAUUUUGAUUAUUGUUAUAAACAAAAUUAAUGAAUGUCCAUUAUACCCCUCUUAUGCCUAUAAAAGGCAUUGUAAUCUCUAUAGAAAAUACAUCAAAAAUAAGAAAGAUUCAAGCUUCCUAUUUUAUCUCUCUACUGUAUUCUUAUUUCCUUAAUAGCUAUUAGUUUAAUUUUAAUACUUAGUCUCUAUUUUAUAACAAUUAUUCUAUUAUGUAUGAUAAAAAUUAAAUUUUAUGAAAUUAUCUUAUCAAAUCAAUUUUCUUAUGUAUCAAUGUGGUUUCAUGUAUUUUUAACAUUUUUUAAAUCAAAAUAUUAUAAAACAAGUAAAGUUUGAACAUGAUUAUCAAGUAUAUAAUAUACUUCCUUAGGAUUUUAGAAAACACACUCGAGAUUUUUUGUUUUCUGUUUAAGAGAUAGUGAUGCAUCCCACGAGAGGAAAUAUAUGUCUAAUAUCUUAUUAAUUUAAGACGUGAUGCACUUAUUGUCUUGCAUUUGAUUUCAUCCUGGCCAAAAUUGAAAACUUUAAUGAAUAUAUCAUUGGAAUAUCUUAUAGUAUAUAUUAUUCCUCUUGAUAUGGAUUUUCUUAUGUCCUGGUAUAUUUAAGAGUAAAUUUUAGGUUUACCAAAUAUAAAAAUUAUAUUUGUAUAUUUGUAUGUUAUAGUUAUAAUUUAUAUAAUUAUGUUACAUAGCAAAUUUUAUAUUUUUUGUGACUAUUAACCUGUAUAUUCGAUAAAAAAUAUACAUAAAAAUCUAUAUUUAUACAUUUCGGUGUACAAACUAAAACAUAAUAGUUGUAUAUAAAUAAAAUUACUACAUAUAUAUGAUAUACAUGUAUACCGAAUGCGUCUAUCUAUAUAUUUCGUUAUAUAAAUAGGUCCCGCAAUUAAUUUUUAUACAAUACAUAUUACAUAUGUAUAUCCAAUGGGUCUAUCUAUAUAUUACAUUAUACAAAUAGGUCCUGCAAUUAAUUAUCAUACAAUACAUAUGUAUACCGAAUGAGUCUAUUUGUAUUUUUGAUGUACAAAUGGUCCUGCAGUUAAUUUCUAUACAACACAUAUGUAUAGCAAAUGAGUUUAUUUGUAUACUUCGGCAUACAAAUGAGACGACAAAAACAUGAAAUAUUUGCUAUGAACUACAAAUAAAAAUAACUAUGACUAUAAAAUUUAAUUUGAAUUAAUAAUUUAUUAUUUCAUACAUUUUCUCUUAAAUAAAAGGUUAUAUUAUAUAAGGUAGGGGUCGUGCCUAACCUUUUAAUUUGAUUUAAAAGAACAAAAACUAGACAAUAUAAGAAGAUUGAGUCUCUCCUUUGACUCGUAAAAGAAAUUAAUUGGGUAGGGGACUCUCCUUCAUUACCAAAUCUAAUGCAAACUUUAUUAGUAGCUUCUCUUUACUCAAUAUUCAUCGUUCCUUCUUUUAUUUUAACAAAGAUAACUUUUCAAAUUAAGAAUAUGUAUAAGCCCCUAACCUAUAAAUUACUACAAUAUUUAAUUUAGUUUAGUGGGUUAAUUAGUUUCACUAUUUGCAUUAUUUGUCCCCCAGUUUGUUUCAUUUUUAUUGGACACUGGUUGAGAGUAACAUUUUCGGCUAAGAGAGUUAACUCAUAAUAAUUACAAAUAAAUCUUCUCCGCCAUAUAUAUAUCCAUUAUACGAAAAAUGGAAGAGGUCAGAUUCCCAAAAUAUCAGUGAAAAAGAAACACUUCCAUCUUUCAUUUGUGUAUAGUACCCUAGUCAUUUUGUGUACGGUAUAUUGCUCCACACAAAAAACUCUCCCCUUUAAUUUUGUGCUCUUAUUCAUUUUUUGAUUGUAAAAUUAGGUUUUAGGCGUAACUCACACAUCAAAAGCUAGCUCAAAGGGAGGAGGAUUGGAUCGGAAUUCCUUAACUUGUCCUUCCACCACAGGGAAUUUAAGGUCAAAUGUUGUAAGAACAGGCUUGAACCCUUCGUUUGGGUUCGUUAAAAGUGGUUGGAGAGACUUCAAGUAGAAGUACGGAUGGACCAUAGAAAAGUGGAAGAGGAUUUUCUUUAAAAAGCAAGCCCUCUAAGGAGGACUGAGUAGCUUUGUAUAAAUGAGUAUAGUUAUGGUACACAUGAAUUUGAUAAAACAAUUGGUAUAUAUGAGAUAGAUCAGAUUUAGUAGCAAGACGAACUCGUAUGUAUAUAUUUCCAGUGAUAGUAACAUUGUUGUUUUCCAAUAUAAUGAUGUGUUGAUGGUUAUUGCUUCAGAUGGAGUUGGUAGUUGAGGAGCAGGAGCCAUAGUUGUUUUAAGGCAAAAGAGAUAUUGUUGAAAGGAGUAUGAUGAAGUUUUAAAUUAGUAACAGUAUAUUGUAUCGAAAGAUGAUAUUUCAAUGGUUAUUUGAACUAAACUGAAAUUAAACACUUAGAAUGAACACUAAAAUAGUAACUACUUCUUUGAGAGAUCUUCUCAUUGAUUGAGCUCAAAAGGCUAGUGAAUACAAGUAAUGGAGGUGGUAUUUAUAGACCACAUUCUGUAACUAACUUCUUCUAGCUAACUCAGCAUAGUUUGUUACAACUAACAUUGUACAAUGACUAAUCUACCCUUCAUCAGUUUAAUGACUUUUAACUGACUACUUAACUACUUCUUCACAUAUCUCAUCACUCCCCUUCACGUUAGGUGGGAUAAAAAUAUUUAACACACCUAACUUGGAUAAGAGAUAUUCAUAUUGAUGUCUGGACAACCCUUUAGUCAAUAUAUCAACAGGUUGUUCUUGUGUAUAAAUGUAGUUCACUUUAAUCAGCCCUUGUUGUAUCCUUUCCCUUAUGAAAUGACAGUCGAUUUUAAUAUGUUUUGUCCUCUCGUGAUAAAAUGGAUUUGUAGCAAUUUGUAUUGCUCCCUUACUUUCACUGAAUACCUGUUUUCGGUACUUGAACUUUAGCCUCUACUUCUUUAAGCAUUCCUACCAACCAUAUUAAUUCUGAGACUGUUGAAGCAAGAGUUCUGUACUCAACAUCAGCUGAGCUCUUGGAAACUGUGGUCUGCUUCUUUGCUUUCCAUGACACCAAGGAUUUUCUCAUUUAUCUAUAUAUCCUGAUACAGAUCUCUUGGUAAUAGCACAGGAACCCCAGUCUGCAUCACAGAAUGCAUCAAUUUCUUCAUUAGAUGAACUAGAAAAUAACAAUCCUUGUCCAGGUUCUUUUUUCAAGUAUCUAACUACUCUUAAUGCAGCAUUUAUAUGAGACUUCUUUGGUUGCUGAAGAAACUGACUUAAGCUUUGAGUACUGAAAGUUAUGUCUGGUCUUGUCAUGUUAAGAUACAAGAGUUUUCCAAUUAACUUUUGAUAUGCUUUAUGAUCUACUAGAGGAUCUUCAAUGGCUUCUUUGACUUUCAUGUGAUCAUCAAAUUGUCUUGAUGUUAGUUUAACAUAAACAUCAACAGGAGUUCCUGUAGGCUUGGCUGCUGAAAUGCCAAUAAAUGUCCAUGUUUCCUUUCAGUCACUCCAUUUUGCUAAGGUGUAUAAAGACAGGACCUUUGAUGAAUAAUUCCCAAAUCCUUGAACAUAGUAGUACAUACUGAAUUCACAAACUCAGUGCCAUUAUCACUUCUGAUUACUUUAACCUGUCUUCCAAACUGAGUGAUGACAUACUGCAGAAAUAUCUUCAAGCAUACUCAUACAUCAUAUUUGUGUUUGAGUAAGAAAAACCAAGUCAUUCUAGAAAAAUCAUCAACUAUUGUAAGAAAAUAUUAGUGUCCAUUAAACGUAGGAGUAUUAUUGAGACCCCAUAGAUUAACAUGAAUCAAGUCAAAACAAUUACAACUUUUGAUGCUACUAGAAGAAAAUGUGAGUCUAGUCUGUUUUGCACAAGGACAAACUAAACAUUUGGACAGUUUACAAAUGCUUUGAUUAUUCAUAUUAAAGAUUUUUGAGAGUACUAUAGAAGACACAUGCCCUAGUCAUUUAUGCCACAAAUCCAUAUUUGUGGGACCUUGAUUUAAUGUCAAGACAAUCUCCUUUUCACCUCUGUCAUGACUUUGAGUAUAUAAAGAACCAGCUUCUUUACCAACUUCCUUCACCUUCCCACUGGAAAGAUCCUGAAAAAUAUAGAAGUUAUGGAAGAAGGUGUCCAGCUCCUUGCUCAGUUUACUCACAGACAUAAAUUUAUACUUAAAUUCAGGCAGGUAGAAUACAUUAGAAAUGAUGUUUUUAUCAGACAAAACACAAGAUCCAACAUGAGUGACUUGCUCCAGUAUUAACAAUCCAUACUUUGUUAUUCUCAGAGACAAAUAAAGUUUUACCUGCAGUGUGAGCAGAAUUGCUAUGAUUGUAAUCAGCGGUGCUAGUGUUAGGUUCUGACUGCUGUUGAAGUCCUCUAAGAAUGUAAUCAUACUACUCCUUUGUGAAUGUGCAACCCUUCAAAAAUUGUUUGGCAUUCAUCUCAGCUUGACUUAGUGUAUUAGAAUGAUUUGAACGCGAAGAUCUCUUUUCGACUAGCAAGUUUACGUACCUAGGUCCUAAGUUUCUCAUUACUCGGUGAAGUCUGAUUUGAGCCCUAGUCAAACUGAUCUCUCCGGCGGGCGGAGGAUGGUCUCAUACUAGCAAUGUUUUGAUUGCGCCUAUCUGUCGUUGCCAAUGAAACGAUCACCAAGAGAAAGAGCUAACGAAUCUUCCGUAAUGCUUGCAAAGAAAUCAGAAGAAAGGCUUCUGCCCCUUGGCGACUCGGAACGAAUGAGAAGAAGUGAAUCAGAAAUGAACUUAUAUAAGAGCGCUUAUUCCGCUUCCUUCUACUCUUGAAAGGUGACACUUUCACGACGUUGGAUAAAUACCAUUUGAAGUUAAGGAGCUAACGUGAAAAACUAAACUGAUUCAAGUUAGCCCAACCAAAGGACUAAUCGAGCUACAAAUGAAAGAGUAAAGUGCAUUAUCUUCAUUCCACUUCCAAUUAAAUGUGUUACGCACAGUGACAUUUGCCAAUCUUGUUCCUGUUAGGAAUCAAUUUGAUAAAAAAUAUACAGCCACGAGCUCUCUCUCUUUCUUAUCCCGUCUCUUAAGGAAAAGCGCCACCAUGAUUAGUCUGCAAGCUAUCAGGUUUCCUAUUCCACUCUGGUGCACGGACAUUGGUGUUCAAACCAUAUGAAAAAUGAGCCUGACUUGAUUGAUAUUGCCAAGUAUUGUUGACUUUUGAAGAAGAACCUUGCACCUUUCUCUUGGACUUGAAAUCAGCUGGAUAACCAAUUACUCUAUAACAAGUCUCCAAACUGUGACGUUUAAAUUUGCAGACCUCACAUAUCAUAAAAGGAUUUUCUUAGAUCUCUGACUUACUCCUGGUGCGGUACCUACCUUUGAGUACAUACCUAUAGAAUCUAGACUAACAGAAUUCAAUUCCAUGUUACAAAUGUGUGAUACUACAACUCUUUGACUUUCAUCUCCAAUUAUCAUAGCAUAAGCAUGGUUAACAACAGGUAGGGGAUUCAUCAUCAAAAUUUGACUUCUAGCUUGAUGAUAGGAUUCAUUUAACUCCAUUAAGAACUGAUACAAUUUCUGUCUAUUUAGAUGAAUGACAAACUCCUUCGAUUUUGCACAAUUACAGCAAGGUGUGGGUACUACGAUCUCAACCUCAUCCCAGAAUGUGAGUUACCUGCUGCAAGGAAACAAUAUCUUUAUGAAGACUGUAGGUUCUAGAACUAUCUACUCUAUCGAACCUCUCUUUCAGAUCAUUCCAAACCUACAUAGCAGUGGAUGCUAAUGCAAUUCCACUAAGCAAACCUUUGGAUACUAAAUUCAUUAGCCAUUUUAAGACAAUAACAUUUGUUCUUUUCCAUGUCCCCACAGUUCUUCACCAAAAAACUUCUUUAUUACAGGAUUCAUUAAUCACACCUAGUUUAUUUUGUCCUAACAGUGAUUGUUAUACUCCAUAGAGUGUAAUUUUCAGUUCCAAGUAAUUGAAAUAAAAGGAGAUUAUAUCCACUUACAUCCGAUAGACUAAGAAACAAAGGAUGAUUAUAAUCAAUACCUAGGCUAGUCAUAAAACUAGGCAGAGCAGUUGAUGCACCUACAUGUUCUCCAUUGUUGCCAUUGUUAAAACCUUGAAUUGGAUCUUCUAAUUGAAACUUUGAAAAAUACUUGUAGCGGAAGAGAUUCAAUCUUCAAUUGAUUUUUGAUCACCAACUUAGUUCAGCUGAAGAACUGUUAGUUCGAUGAUGAUGCACAAUUGAUCUGAUGAUUUCAAAUCGAUUGCCUCUCAAAGUUAUACUGUGUAUAGCUCUGAUACCAUGAACUAAACUGAAAUAAAACACUUAGAAUGAACACUAAAACAGUAACUGCUUCUUUAGAGAGAGCUUCUCAUUGAUUGAGCUCAAAAGGCUAGUGAAUACAAGUAAUGGAGGUUGUAUUUAUAGACCACAUUCUGUAACUAACUUCUUCUAGCUAACUCAGCGUAGUUUGUUACAACUAACAUUGUACAAUGACUAAUCUAUCCUUCAUCAGUUUAAUGACUUUUAACUAACUACUUCUUCACAUAUCUCAUCAUUAUUUAUAGUGAAGAAUUUGUUGUUUUUUUUUGUAAUUCUUAUUUGGUUGGUGGAGUUCAACUCAAACAUGCGUGUUAUAUAAAAGAGUCGAAGCAUCUAAUGAAACUUCUUUUUUUUUUCCUAAAAGAUUUGGAGUGUGUUUGAUAUGAAGGAAAACAUUUUCUGGAAAAUGUUUCCAAUUUUCUCAUGUUUGGUUGGAACAAAAGUUUUGGAAAAUGUUUUUCAAAUCAACUCAUUUUCCUCAAAAUUAAGAAAAAUGACUUCCCUCCAAAAAAUAAGGAAAACAUUUUUCAAAACUCUCCUCCAAAUUUUAAAUUACAUUUUUUUGGGGGGAAAAACAACAAUUUAAAAAAAAAUAAUUUUAAAUUUUUAUUUUUAAACUCUCAACCCCUUCCCCCCUCCCCCGGCCAGGCCCCCACCCCCCACCCCCCAAAAAAAAUUAAUUUUACUUUUUAAAAAUACUAUAAAGUUCAAAUAUUUAUUUUUUUACCCCCACUCCCUACCCCCUCCCCCACCCCACCCUCACCACCCCCAAAUUAAAAUUAUUUUUAAAAAAUAUUUUCAAUUUCAUAAAUUAUUUUCUACACUUGUAAAAAUAAAAGAUAUCUCUCAAAAAUAUUUUUCAUUCAUAAAUCAAACACUAAAAAUCAUUUCCAAAAAAUAUUUUCUAUUCACCAACCAAACAUGAGAAAAUAAAUCUAAAAUCUUGUUAUUUUUCAGAAAAACAUUUUCUAAGAAAACAUUUUCCAUCGAAAACAUUUUCCUUCUUACCAAACACACCCUUGGUAGGAGCCGUAAACUAAAGUUGACCCAUUUUUCAAAUGUUAGUCAUAUUAUAAUGUAAAUGAACUUCUCUCUGUCUUUUUCCAUGUGUGGUGUAUACUGAUAUCGCAUCACAUAUGAUUAAAAAAAUAGUUUGACAAUUUUGAUUUUCAAUUUUUAAGAUAUUAUAUUCACAUCAAAUAAUUUAAUAUAAUUUAAUAAUUUAAAAUUUGAUUUUGCUUUUGCCAAGGAGAGAAUGCACUUACAGCCUCUCUCUCAUAUUCACCUGUCAAGACAUGACAUAGAUAGCAAAUAGUCAGCUCUCUUACCGUCAGUAUGAUAAAUUAUUAAUUAUAAUUUAUUUAAUUUAACUUACCUAUAAUAGAAAUAUACUUAAUUUCACGAUAUAUAAAAAUGCUAGUUAGAUUCUAUCAUACAUGUUAUUACAGUGGUAUUACUUGUAUUCAUUCUUUCUUAUAUUGCUCGUAUUAAUCAAAAUACGAAAUAUAAAUUUAUACAAGAUAGUAUACUGAUAUAACCAUUCGAAUGACAUAAUUGAUGCAAAGUAUCAUUUUUUUUUUGUAUUUAUUCCUUUAGUUGGCUAGGAUUUUAUUAAAAGGAAUCAGAUAAGCACUCGUUGUUUGUUAGUACCACGUCAACGUACAUUCAGUUAAAUAAAUUAUAUGACUUUACUAGUAUCAUAUAGUGAAAUACAGAAUACAAAAUAUAAUAGAGAGAGGGUAGAGUAUAUAUGUGACUGUUUGCUGUGAUUAAUUAUUUUUUUAAAAAUACAAUACGCCCUCUCAGUAUACAACAUAACUUUAUAUAUGUAUGUAUAUAUAGCAUUUACAUCGUAAUUUGUUAUGCCAUUUACAUCAUAGUUUGUGAGUUAAUGUCCUCCCAGCAUAUAAUUACAUAACACGUUAUACUUGUUACUGAUUCAGAAUUCAUUCUGGAGUUUACAAUGUCAAAUCAUAAACAUUAUAUUUUUUUUAUCGGAUGUCUUUACUAGAAAUUCUGAAUAUAGUCCCUCAGGCUCUUGAAGUAAAUUCACAUCAUUGAAAAUUUUAAAAAAAAUAUUUUUAAAAAAUGGUUGACUUCCCAAAUAAUGAUUGUGGCAGAUAAAAUUAAAUUAUAUCAGAGAGAUGAUAUAAUUAUGAUAAUAAUCAAUUUAAAAUUUCAAAAUACAAAUGUAAUACACACUGGUGAGUGAGCCUUGUGCUUUUAAAAAAAAAAAAAGUUUUGAUGAAAGUAAGUCACUAUUUAGAUGAAUUUAUUGAGAUAAUAUGUUUUUUUGAAAAUUUACAAAAUUAGAAUAAACUUAUUUGAUAGUAACAUUUUUGUAAAAGAGUUAAAUAAUUGCAUUAAUGUACAUUGAACAUGUAUUGAAACACAUAGUAGAUUAUAGUGUAGAUUACACACUAGAUUAUAAUUAGGAAGAGUUAGUUACAAAUUUGUUAGAAGUUAGUUACAAGUUUGUUAGUAAGUGGAUUGUAUAUAACUCAUGUAAUGUGUGGCAUUGUUGCUUAAUGCAGUUCUUCUUUCUCUCCCAACUAAAUUGCUUCUCUUCUACGUGUUCUUGAGCAGCUUCAGCUGAGAUUUGGCCAUGGAUUCUUGUUAGAAUCCACAGGCUUUACAUGGUAUCAGAGCAAGGGGUUCUGUAAUCUGUAGACAAAGGAAAUAGAGUUUUAAUUCGAUGGUUUCUACUGGAGAUUCAGCAGGGGAAAUCACAGGAACAUCAAUGGCAUCCACGACCAUUGAUCAUCUUCAUCCUUUAUACUUGCAUCCAUCUGAUUCACCAGGCUCACUCAACAUUGGAAUCAUGCUCACAGGAACAGAUAACUACACUUUGUGGAGCAAAGCAAUGCAGUUGGCUUUGCUUGGGAAGAACAAAGUAGGAUUCAUUGAUGGAACAGUGAAACGAGAUCAAUUUUCAGGGAGUUUGGCUCAACUGUGGGAUCGAUGUAAUGCCAUUAUUGUUUCAUGGAUUCUGUGCAAUGUGAGUAAAGAUCUACACAGUGGUGUUCUUUUCUGUUCAGAUACACAUUUGAUUUGGGGAGAUCUAAGAGAAAGGUUCAACAAGAUCAACAGUUCUCGUGUGUUUCAGCUACACAAGGAGAUCUUCACACUUGUUCAAGGUGUGUCUUCUAUCUCAGUAUACUAUUCAAGACUCAAAGAUCUUUGGGAUGAAUAUGAUAGCAUCAUGCCACCACCAGCUUGUAAUUGUCCUAAAUCUAAGGAGUUUUUUGAGCAUCUUCAAUAUCAGAGGAUGUUGCAGUUCCUUAUGGGACUUAAUGAUGGUUAUGCUCAAGCUCGCAGCCAAAUUCUGUUGAUGCAUCAACUUCCUAGCAUUAAUCAGGUUUAUGCCAUGAUAAGUCAAGAUGAAAGUCAAAAACUAGCAGCAAACUUAAGUAGAUCAAUGCCAGAAAGUUCAAAUUCAAAUCCUACUGCAAUGUAUACAUCAAGGUCUAGUUCGAGGAAUAGGAAGCCAUACAAUCCUAAUGUUUUCUGUGAAUAUUGUCACAUGAAGGGACAUAUGAGAAGUGAUUGCAACAAAUUAUUGAAGUGUGAUCAUUGUCACAAAACUGGCCAUGUAAAACUUGAUUGUUUCAAGCUUAUUGGAUAUCCUACAGAGUUCAAAGGAAAGAGAGAUUCAGUUGUUGCAGGGAACCUAGUCUAUGAAGAAUCAUCAAUCCAUCAUCAUGCUCCACAACUUACUCAAAAGGAGUUUCAUCAAGCUGCAGCAUCUGAGACAAUGCCAAUGCCAAUGUUUACACCACAACAACAUCAGAAACUUAUUCAAAUGUUGAAUCAAACAACAGUUGGUGAUACACAUUGUGCAGCUAAUAUGGCAGGUAACUCUUACUUAUCUAAGGAUGCUUCAAUACAGUGGGUUGUUGAUACUGGUGCUACUCAUCACAUGAUAAAUGAUGCUAAGCAUUUACAUUGUGAAAGAAUGAUAGAAAAUGCAGGUAGUGUCAGUUGCCUACUGGAGAGUCUGCAAAGGUUUCUCAUAUUGGAAGUUGUCCUAUAGAAAAAGGUGACAUGCUUAAACAAGUGUUAUGCAUUCCAGACUUCAAAUUCAAUCUUAUGUCUGUUUCAAAAGUGACAAAAGAUUUGAAUUGUUGUGUCACCUUCUUUCCUCAUUACUGUGUUUUUCAGGACCUCUCAUCUGGGAAGGUGAGGGUGACUGGUAAAGAAAAGGAUGGAUUAUACAUGGUAGAUACACAAGUAGAAGAUAUGCCUCAGAGAUGUUUAACAGCAAUACAAGAUGCUGAAGAUAAGGCUACUGUUUGGCACCAAAGAUUAUGUUAUGUGCCUAUGAGUGUAAUCAGGAAGAUUCCCAUUUUCAAUAAGUUUGGUAGUAAAUUUGCAUUACAUAAUUGUGAAAUUUGUCCACUUGCUAGACAAACUAGACUGCCUUUUCCUAACAGUACUAGUAGAUCAACAAGUAUUUUCCAGCUGGUUCACUUAGAUGUUUGGGGACCUUAUAGAGUUGAAACUUUUGAUGGUAUGAGAUAUUUUCUUACUGUUGUUGAUGACUAUUCUAGAUGGACAUGGAUUUUUCUAAUGAGAUUGAAAUCAGAUGUUGUUAGUUUGUUAAAACAUUUCUUUACAGAAGUUGAAACUCAGUUUGGAAAAAGGAUUCAGAAGAUAAGGUCAGACAAUGGUUCUGAAUUUUUCAACUACAAUUGCAAUGAGCUUUUCAAGUUAUAUGGUAUUAUCCAUGAAAGUUCUUGUCCAUAUACACCUCAACAGAAUGGUGUAGUGGAAAGAAAACAUAGACACAUUCUAGAGACAGCAAGAGCUAUUAAGUUUCAAGCUGGUUUUCCAGAUAGAUUUUGGGGUUUGUGUGUUCAAGCUGCAGUAUAUGUGAUCAACAGAGUACCUUCUACUAGUUUGAAUGGUGUGUCAUCUUUUGAGAAACUAUACAAUAAGCCUCCUUCAAUUGAUCACUUAAGAGUGAUAGGUUGCUUAUGUUUUGCUACUAAUCUUACUAAACAAGACAAGUUUAGUCCUAGGGCUCUAAAGUCUGUCCUGAUGGGGUAUGAACCUACACAAAAGGGAUACAAAUUAUACAAUUUGGAGAGCAAAACAUUCUUUGUUAAUAGGGAUGUAGUUUUUGUUGAAUCAGUGUUUCCUUUCAAAGACAAUACUACAUCUUCAUCUAAUACUAUAUCCAGUGCAGACUUAUUCAAUUAUGAUGAAUUGAUCACUAUAGUGCCACAAUCCUCUAUACCUCCUUCUUGUUCAGAUAAUGCUGCUCCACAAAUGUCAUCUUAUCAGGAUGAUCCUCCACUAAGAAAAUCAGCUAGAAGCAUUAAACCUCCAAUUUGGCAUAAGGAUUACAUUACUACAAAUGGGACCAACAAAUGUCUGUAUUCAAUAGCUUCAGUGCUAGACUACUCUGGGUUGUCCAACAAAUACCAAAGUUUUGUUUCAAAAUUCUCAGUUGAGAAUGAACCAGCUACCUAUGCAGAGGCCAUACAAGAUGCUAGAUGGGUGGAUGCAAUGCAGAGUGAAAUAAAAGCUCUAGAGGAUAACCAGACUUGGGAACUAGUAGACUUGCCAAAGAACAAGAAAGCCAUUGGCUGUAGAUGGGUGUAUAAGGUGAAGUAUAAUUCAGAUGGUGGUGUGGAAAGAUUCAAGGCAAGAUUGGUGGCUAAAGGCUAUAAUCAAAAGGAAGGAUUUGAUUACCAAGAGACAUUCUCACCAGUAGUCAAAAUGACUACUGUAAGGUCUGUUAUUUCAAUUGCAGCUGCUAAGCAUUGGCACAUUCAUCAAAUGGAUGUGUACAAUGCCUUUCUACAAGGAGAUUUGUAUGAAGAGGUAUAUAUGACAUUGCCUCAAGGUUUUAGUAGAAGGAACAACGACAGGACUGGAAACAAUCAAGUAUGUAGAUUACUAAAGUCACUCUAUGGCCUGAAACAAGCAUCAAGACAGUGGAACAUCAAGCUUACACACACCUUAAUUGAAUCUGGAUUUCAUCAAAGCACACGAGAUUAUUCUUUGUUCACGAAGAGGAAACAAGACAAGAUAAUGAUAGUUCUUAUAUAUGUAGAUGAUCUGUUAUUGACAGGCAAUGAUUCAGUGAUGAUUCAACAAACUAAGGAGAUGCUACAACAGUCUUUCAAGAUCAAAGAUUUGGGAGAGCUAAGAUACUUUCUUGGGCUGGAAUUUGCUAGGAGUGAUGCUGGAAUUCUGAUACACCAGAGGAAGUAUGCUUUAGAACUCAUAUCAGACAUGGGGUUGGCAGGUGCCAAACCAGUCUCAACUCCAAUGGAAUUAAAUCAAAAGCUUACUACAGUUGAGUUUGAUGCUAACAUCCCAUCUACAUGUCCAGAUGAAACAUUAAAAGAUCCUACAGGCUAUCAAAGGUUAAUUGGGAGGCUGUUGUAUCUCACAACUACUAGACCUGAUAUAUCAUUUGCUGUACAAUGUUUGAGUCAGUUUAUGCACUCUCCAAAGACUUCACAUAUGGAGGCUGCAAUGAGAUUAGUUAGAUAUGUGAAAUCAGCACCAGGACUUGGUAUUUUGAUGGCAUCAACAGGGGGGAGUGAAUUAAAGGUGUUUUGUGAUGCUGAUUGGGGUGCAUGCAUUAAUAGUAGAAGAUCAAUUACAGGAUACUUGGUACAAUAUGGAGGUUCACCUAUAUCCUGGAAAUCUAAGAAACAAGUGACAGUGUCUAGGAGUUCAGCAGAGGCAGAAUAUAGAGCAAUGGCAUCUACAGUUUCUGAGGUUGUUUGGAUUGUUGGUUUAUUUGAUGAACUUGGCGUCAAGAUUAACCUUCCUGUGUUAUUGCAUUCAGACAGCACUUCUGCAAUUCAAAUAGCAGCUAAUCCAGUGUUCCAUGAGAGAACAAAACACAUAGAUAUAGACUGCCAUUUCGUGAGAGAAAAGAUACAAGAAGGAUUGGUUGUCACAACAUAUUUGAAGUCAUCUGAACAGCCUGCAGACAUAUUCACUAAGACCCUUGGACGAGAUUCUCAUACACAUCUUGUAUCCAAGCUAGGAAUGAAGAACAUCUUCAUAGCUCCUAGCUUGAGGGAGGGUGUAAAAGAGUUAAAUAAUUGCAUUAAUGUACAUUGAACAUGUAUUGAAACACAUAGUAGAUUAUAGUGUAGAUUACACACUAGAUUAUAAUUAGGAAGAGUUAGUUACAAAUUUGUUAGAAGUUAGUUACAAGUUUGUUAGUAAGUGGAUUGUAUAUAACUCAUGUAAUGUGUGGCAUUGUUGCUUAAUGCAGUUCUUCUUUCUCUCCCAACUAAAUUGCUUCUCUUCUACGUGUUCUUGAGCAGCUUCAGCUGAGAUUUGGCCAUGGAUUCUUGUUAGAAUCCACAGGCUUUACAAUUUUAGGUAUUAUUUUAUUUAAAAAUAAUCAAUGACAAAAAGACAAAAUUCUAAUGGAUUAAAACGUUACUGUCAAAUACGUUUUAUGGAUUCGUUUUAAGGCUAAAACGCUACCGAGAAUAACGACUCUUUAGAUCCAAUUUACUCCGUUAGUUAUUGUCACCACACUCUUGUUAAAUCUCUAGUAUUCAGGAAGAACUUAAUUCAUUUUUCCAAGCGCCUCUUUCUUGUUAAUUUUUGAAUUUUUAUCUAUUUGAAAUUGAGGAUUCAUCUUAAAUAGUGAGGAUGUCCAUCUUGAAGUGGAACGAGAACGUUUGAUUCUAAACCUGUUGUGAAAAGAAAUUAGCUGGAAUAUUACUGAAUGAAUCUUCGACAAAUUUCAAUACUCAUCACUAUGUAAUGAAAAAGCAUAAAGAAUUUGGUACUAGAAACAGUCAUGUCUCAACACACAACACCCAAAAAGUUUCUACCUAAUAUCAAUUUAAGCUUUAAGAUUGAAUUGAUGUGGUGAACUCAACAUGGUAUAUACAUAAAAAUAUACUUUUAUUUGAUUGUAUUUUAAGUAUGGUUGAAUAAAGGAGUGGGGAAAUUCUUAGGGAAACGCAAGGUUGCCUUUUGAAGUCGUUGUCGGAAUUGGAAAGAAGAAAAAAUUGUCAUUAGGGAAAUCGAGAACAGCAUCGUGUACACACUCAGUAAUGUUUCUGCUUAAAUAUUCGUUACUGUCUUAUUAGCCUUAAAAUGUGAUCGUAAGUAACGUAUUAAUAAAACAUACUUUUAACGUUUUACUCUAUCAGAAUUUUGUAUUCUUGUUAUUGAUUAUUUUUUAAUAAAAUAUUACUUAAAAUGUUACAACCAAAUAAGUUUAUUCUAAUUUUGUAAAAAAAAUUUAAAAAACAAAUUACUUUAGUGAAUUAAUUUAAAUAGUGACUUAUUUUGAUAAAAAAAUUCAAAAAUAAAAAAUUACAAAUACAAUAUAAUAAAUUGCACCUUCAAUAUGUAGGGGUAUUAACUUUCAGUUGCCUACAUUUUUAUCAGCAUACAUUUUAAUAUUUUCACCAUGCAACUUCCCAUACCUAAACUCAUCAAAUAUUUCAAGCCCCAUAUUUAUGUAAAGAUCAUAUGCCUUCUUAUUCCAAACUGCUACUAUUUCCUCUACCGAUACGAAUCCAUUGUUGGCAGCAAUGGAUGCAACUGUUCCAAACAACAAUUUCCCCAUUCCCAAGUUUCUAUAACUUUCUCUUAAGUAAAGACUCUCCAAAUAUAACCCGGGCUUGUCAUUGAAGCAUGAAUAAUUCGCGUAAAAGAAAGCAUAUCCCGCGAUGUAAGCAUCACUCUUAUCAUCAUAUUUGGAUCUGAAUUCCUCAACUUCUCCUUCCACCACAGGGAAUUUAAGGUCGAAAGUUGUAAGGACAGGUUUAAACCCUUCGUUUGUGGGUUCUUUAAAAGGGGUUUGAGAGACUUCAAGUAGAAGUACGGAUGGCCCAUAGAAAAGUGGAAGAGGAUUUUCUUUAAAGAGCAAGUUGGCUAAGGAAGACUCAGAAGCUCUGUAUAAAUGAAUAUAGUUAUGGUAUUCAUGAAUUUGGUAAAAUAAUUUGUAAAUAUGGGACAGAUUAGAUUUCGUAGCAAGACGAACUCGUGUGUAUAUCUUUCCAGUGAUGGUAACGUCCGAUGAUGCAUCGCUGGUUAUUGAUUCAGAUGGAAUUGGUUGUUGAAGAGAAGGAGUCAUGGUCGUGUGGUGAAUUAGAUGAAAUAUUAAGGCAAAGGAUUAGGGUGACGGUUUUUUUGUAAUGGGAUACUAUUGAGUGGAAAGAUAAUAGUAAUGGUUAUUUAUAGUGGAGAUUUCGUCCCCUUCGUAAUUAUUUAUUUGGUUGCUGGAGAUCAACUCAAAUGUGCAUGUUAUAUAUCUUCUUUUUUUUUAAAAAAAAAUAUAAUUUAUGGUGUGCUUUAGAUUGUUUUGCAACGAAAGAUAGUAGGCAGCUUCACGAACAAGUCAUAGUGGACUACAUCAACAUCUUUGCUUAAGUAAAGCUAUUCAUUCUUCAGUACAAUUUUCACGUGGAAGAAGAAAAUUGAGUUAUAAUUUCUUGAAUUUUUAACCAAAUUAAGUAAUUAUAUAAAACAAUUUACCAAAAUAAUACAUUUUUCUAAAAUUUUACAAAACUAGCAUAAACGUAUUUCACGGUAACGUUUUAGGGUAUAUUUAAUUUUUAGAAAACUAACAGCAUUAGGUUGAUAUACGUUACUGUAAGUAACGUUUUACUCCUAAAACGUUAUUUUCAGUAACGUUUUACUCCUAAAACGUUACUGUGAGUAACAUAUAUCAAUCUGACGCCAUCAACUUUUAAAAAAUAAAAUAUAUCCUAAAACAUUACUGGGGAAUACGUUUAUACUAGUUUUGUAAAAUUUUAGAAAAACAUAUUAUUUUGGUGAAUGGCUUUAUAUAAUGGCUUAGUUUGGUUAAAACCUCUAAUUUCUUUGUCUCCUGUGGGUAACUCAUACUUAAGUGGCACAUGACAUGUCGAUUAGUUUGACAAGUUUUUCUCCAAAGGAUUUGACAUGAUGCGUAACUUUUUUACAUUUUUAAAAUGAGUUUAACUAAUAUAUCUACAAUUUGGUUAUAUCAGAGACGAACUCGUGUAUGUAUCUUUCCAGUGAUGGUAACGUUGUUGUUUUCGAUUGAUGCAUCGGUGAUAAUUAUUUCAGAUGAAGUAGGAAGUUGAAGAGCAGGAGCCAUGGGAUAUUGUUUAGUUAAGUAGGAAAGGAAUAUUCAGGUUUAUGAUAAAAGAAAUGUGGAAAAGUUUAGUAAUGAGAUAUUGUGUGUAAAUACUUCAAGAUCAUAAUUAUUUAUAAGUGAAAUUUUUUUACCCUUUUUAAAGUUUGGAAUUUGCUCCGAUUAUAAUUUAUCUCCGUUCCAUAAGUACACGUCUAUGAAAAAGUCUUAAUUAUUCAAAUUUUGAAAGGUUAAGAUUAUAUUAUACUAUCACAAUUAUAAUUAAGUCAACUAAUUAUAAGGGGGAAAAAAUUACUUUCCAAAUUUAGUAAAAACAUAAUGUUUCCUACAAAUUUUAGUAUCCAUUAAUUAUCGAACUACCCAGGGAGAGUUUAAUUUCAUAUAUGUUUUAGCCUUUUAAGUGAGAUUGAUGUCGUGAUGUAUUUUGGAUGAUAUUUUUGAGUAUUUCAUCAAAACUGGGCCACCAAUUUUUAUGUAGUUGAUCGUAAUUAACUGUUCUUGUUUUAUGACAUCUUAUUAUUUUUAGUUAGUCCAAAAAAACAUCACAUAGAACAACUUAAUAAUAAUAUUACCAAUAUUUCAUUUAUUUGGCAAAAAGUGUAACUUGUAAAGUCAUCUCUUAUUUCUUAAAUUAUAUUCAUUAUUUAAUUAAAUUACAUCACAUAAAUUAAGACGAAGAAAAUAUUCUUUAAUAAUAAUUAAAACAAAAUUGGACCAAAAAACCCCUAUUUGUUAGUACUGCUGGAAUUUAAAACUUUCGAAUAUGGAACUACAAAAAUAACAAUAUAAACAUACUGAAAAUUUAAUAAAAUUUCAAAUUUCAGUUACGAUUCAUAAUAUUCAACCUUCUAUAGUCCAUUUAAUUUAAGUUAUAUAGAGAAGAAACAAAUGGGUUCAUAGGACCACACAAAAUAUCAUAAACAUGAUACAUAAACAUUGUAGGAACAAACUGACAAUUUCUUAACAUAAAAAUGUUGACUUUUCAUCAACUUCUUAUCGUACACACUACAAAUGUUAACAUCUACCAAGGAACCAAUAAUUCAUCCAAAAUAAAAUGUUGACAAUUUUAGCAAUAUGGUUAAAAAAUUCUAUGGAUAACAUAAAUGUGACUUUGAGAUUAUAGUCAAAUAAUCAAGUCAUUAACAUUGAGGAACAUGCUCUAAAGAAAAAUAAACUUCUUUUUUUCCAUGAAACAUGUGUUUUCGUAAAUGGAAAUUAAGUCAAUCACGCAAAUAAUCCAUGUAACGUGUAUUUCCGUUAAUGGAAAUUAAGUUCAUCACGCAUAUUUGUUGAAUAAUGAUAUUACUUGUUGGGUUUUUUAUAGUACCGUUCAAUCUCAAAAGUUCUUAUCAUAUUAAGUUUUUUAUUAUUUUAUUUUGUAUGAUAAAAGCUAGACUUUGUGAAAUCGCAUCGAUUUUUUUUAAUUUCGUUCACUAAUGAUCGGUAUAAUUUUUUUAUAAAAAAAGAUUUUUAAAAAAUAAAACGCUCUAGCUUUUUAACUAUUUAACACGUGGCGAAUUUUAAAAAUAAUAAUAAUAAUGAUGCACCACCGGAAAAAUAUUACUAUAUCAAAAAUGAUCAUUAGCGAUUCUUAAUUACUGUAAAAUAUGUAUUUUUAGUGGCAGUUAGUUCUCUUUGUAUAUAUUUCUAAAGCCUUUUACGACAUUGGUUCUACUAACACUAGACUAAUGUCGAUAAAUACGUUAGCACUCUUUAUUAAUGUCAAUAUCUAAUAUCGCGAAAUGAUAUUUUUAUUGUGUAAUAUAUAUUCCUAAUAUCUUAGAACUUUCUAUUUAAGAUCGUUAAUAACUUAUAACUACUAAAGAUGUGACGCAACAUACAGUGAUUUCAUCCUUCUAAUAAGUCCCAAAAUGAAAACUUUAAUAUAAUGCAUUAUUGGAUAUUAUUCCUCCGGUCAAUUUGUUUAGCACAAAUCUGAUUUGUCAUGACAAUAAACAUUGGAUACUAGAUAUAGUAUAAAGUUUAAUAGUAAGAAUUAUCCAUAAAACACGUGUUUCUGUAAAUGGAAAUUAAGUUAAUCACGUAAAUUUGUUGAAUAUUUUAAAACAACGGUGAUCCUAGUACAAGUGUCUACGAUAGGAUUCAAUUAGUUAAUUAUUUUCUUACAAUUUAUAUUGUAUAAAUUUAUGAUUAUUUUUAUUUUUUAUUAUAAAAAGAAUUUUUUAUUAAAUCGUCACAUCAUAUCCAUUUUUUUUUUAAUAUUAUGGGGUAUUAAUUUUUUAAAACAUCACGUACCUACACAGAAUGCGCUGUACUUACUUUUAGUAGUGGAUUUUCACCCCGGCCCCACACUCCUAAAAGACUUGUCAAACUAAACAAUAUGCCACUUGCCACGUACAAAGUGAUUAGGAUGCAGGGGAUUACCAAAUCUAAUGCAUACUAAAAUAUAUUUUUUAAAUAAUUUUUUUUUUAAUUUUCAAAAAAAUAUAUAUUCUUAAACUUAAAACUCUUCGCUCUAUGUUCGUUUGUUUUUUUUUUUUUUAAUUUUAAAAAAACAAAGAUAAUUUUUAAGUUUUUAUAAAACUGUUGAAUUAAGGUGUUUUAGUUAUUCUACGAAAAGAAUUGUUUAUAAAUAUUCUUUUAUCAAAUAAAACAAUUGUUUAUUAGUCGUUUUACCAUUUCUAUGCAAACAUGUUUAGUUAUAAGAUCCACUUUAUCACUUAAAAAAUGAUUUUUAACAUUUUUUUAUUUAAGAGAUAAUGCAUGAGUAUUCCUCAAACUAUGUCUGAAAUUUCAGAGAUACAUUUAUAUUAUACUAAGGUCUUAUUAUCCCUGAACUUAUUUUAUUAAUAAUUUUUACUUCUUUUCGACCUACGUGGCACUAUCUUGUGGGCCAAAUAAUGAUUGACUUUUUUAUUCAAUCUAGUGUCACGUAGGUCGAAAAGGGGUAGAAAAUUACUUAUAAAAUAAGUUAAGGGGUUAAUAGGAUUUUAGUAUAUUAUAAGUGCGUCUCUGAAAUUUCGAGCAUAGAUUGAAGGGUUACUCGCACAUUUUUCCUUUAUUUAAUAAUACAAGAGAUCAUCUUUGCCAUUUUUGUUUUAUAGAAAGAUAUAAAUUUUUAUGAUAAAGUUUAAAAACAUUGAAUCCAGGGAUUUAAAAUAAUAUAAGAUAAGUACCAAUUUAUUUAUUUUUCAAAUUACAAAUACAAUGAGCGUUCUGCUUUUACAAUAUUAAACAUAGAAAUUAAUAAAUUGCGCAAUAUAGUACACAAAAAACCAUAUUAGCUAACAGCUCCCUUUCGCCGUUUUUGUCCUAGUUAUGAGCAUACUUUUGAAGAUUUUCACCAUGCAACUUUCCAUACCUAAAUUCAUCAAAUAUUUCAACUCCCAUAUUUACGUAAAAAUCAUAUGACUUUUUGUUCCAAACUGCUACUAUUCCCUCUACCGAUACAAACCCAUUGUUGGCAGCAAUAGAUGCAACUGUCCCAAACAACAAACUCCCCAUUCCUAACUUUCUAUAACUCUCUCUGAAGUAAAGACUCUCGAAAUAAAAUCCAGGCUUGUCAUAAAAGCAUGAAUAAUUCGCGUAAAAGAAAGCAUAUCCUGCGAUGUAAACAUCACUCUUAUCAUCAUAUUUGGAUCGGAAUUCCUCAACUUCUCCUUCUACGACUGGGAAUUUAAGGUCAAACGUUGUAAGGACAGGCUUGAACCCUUCGUCUGUAGUAUUUUUAGGUUCGUCAAAAGGGGUUGGAGAGACUUCAAGUAGAAG
rnacentral:lncRNA from 1 species